UUUUUUUUUUUUUUUUUUUGGUUUUGGGUCCUAUGGAGGGCCUCUGCCACAAAAGACUACCAGAAAAAUAUAAUAAAAUUUGUAAUGAUUCUGAAAGACAGAAGACUAUGACCUGAGACAAGUGAAGUAGAAUCUUUUGUAAAUAUUAAGGAUGCUAGAAAAUAAGAUUUUUUUUCCCUUACAUAUAAAUUCCCUAACGAUCUGUAAUCCGUUUUUCAAAUUUGUUGUUGGACUAUUACUAAUUUGAACAUAAAACUACAAGGGAAUGGCGUUCAUAAUUCUGAGGUUUCAUUAUGACCCCCAAUAACUUGAAAACUGAGGACAAAUUACUUGAAUUGAAUGUCAUACGCUAAAAAAUCAGUGUAGUCGAAGUAGUCUCCCCAUGCAGUUAUGCAUUUGACAGUUAAAUUCACAAGAAAAAUUUAUCAUUUCAAGUGCAGCGAUUAAAUCCAUCCUAAUCAAAUUAUGCCCAUAUAAAUCCCCCUCAUCUUCUAACCGAAGUAUAUAUCAGCAUCAACAUUAUUAUAUCUGAUACUACUACCACUAUUCUUUUAGCGAUUAAGGUUGAAGGGCAUUUGAGAUGGAUAACAAAAGUGGCAGCAAAGAAACUGGAGCAGUUGCCCGAGCUGGUGGUGGCGGCAAAGAAACUGGAGCAGGUGCAGCAGGAGCUGAUGGUGGGACUAACAAAGGUGGCAACAAUGAUCUGAUCAUUAAGGCUCCUGGUGGUGAUGGAGCAUAUAUAUCAAGGACGGGCUUUGAGAACGAUCCUAAGGGCUACUUUUCUGAGCUGCAUCCUAAGGAGAAGGCCAGCAAAUGAAGAAGGGAUGUUGGGUUUCUAAAGAUAGAUAAAAACUUUGGCUGUCAACUCUAAAAUUUGGAUCAAUAAUGGAAUAAUACAUUUAAGUAUUAAUUUAUUUCUUGUUUCAAAUAAUUUUUUUAGUUUAAGUAUUUCCUUGAUUUUCUUGAGUUUGCAUAAAAUUCUAAACCAUAGAAAACAAUCACUGAAGGCUACUUCUCGAGUUCACGUGGUAGCCAGAAGGGCAAAUGAACCUUUAUGUUGAAUAAGAUGUUAGAAUCUAUUAUAAACAUCAACUCUAUGUUGAAUUAUCAGCUCCCAAUGGUUAGGAUCAACAGUUAAUUUUAUUGGAGAAUUAAACUAUUUAUAUUGCUUGGAUUUUUACCUGUUAAGAAUCCUAAAUCGCACCUAACUUGUUAUAUGAAUGCGCACACACAUAUUUACUAUCCCCUACAUUUAGAUAUUUUCUUGAAUUGGUUUUAUUGUUAUCAAAAAAGUAACACUUGAAACUGUCUUAAUCCCCAAACCCAAGUCCAUAAACUAAAAAAAUAAACCAAAAAUUUCAAGAGUUCUAACAUAGUGCCAACACUUUGUAAUUUUUCAUCAGCUCUCCAUAGCUCUCCCAGUAGUAACCAAAGCUCCGCCGAUCACAUGCUGCAGGCUUAGGUUGUUCAACACUUGCAAAAGUUCCCUGCCCACCAUAAAUCUAGGAAUAAUAUGUUUAUCCCUCGGCUCUAAGAUGAUGUUAUGUGUUUUGGUCCAAAUGCCCUUCUCAUAAUUUUUAAGCAUCCACAGUUGGAUCAGAUGAUCCGCACUUUCACAAUUAAUUAGGCUCAACCAACCUCCCAAAUCCAGCAGAAUAAAGGGUAUCAAGUUUUCAUGUUCGUAAUCUGAUGGAUGAGGGAAAUAGCCAAAAGUCUCACUUGCCAAAUCAAAGGACAUAUUAUCAAGGUGUGGAGAAGGACACUCACUAUUGAUUACCUAAUGAAGACAUCCAUCAGCAAAAACAGCGUAAUUUCAAAUGGGAUACGGGCACCGGGAUUCAAGAAUCUGAUGGUGAAUAAUUAUCACCUUCAUGUCAAAUGUCGAAGAUUUCACAACCGAAAUCAUCUUUUACAUCGUCUCCAUACGUAGAUUUUGUAGUAAAUAUUGUCACCACUGCAUGCCUUCCUGUGGGAAAUACAUAUCCAAAACCAAGUAUAGGGUCACACAAAUAAAGAGGUCUAAUUUCGACGAUAUAAAUGAUGAAAGAAAGAAAAGUUCACAAGUUGUUUUGCAAGAAAAAAUAUAUAUAUAUAUAUAUGUUGGCCUAAUCAGCAACAUCCCUCAGAUCCCGGUUCGACGGGACUAACCGCCCAGCCCGUGGCACCCAGGGGUGCAGACCCUCAUGCUGGCCGAGCGUGGUUUGGUGCAAUGGUAAGCGCUUGAUCCUGACAAGUGGUAUCAGAGCGAGGUCGCGAGUUCGAAUCUCCCUGGCUGUUGCUGGGGGAGGGAUUGUUGGCCUAAUCAGCAACAUCCCUCAGAUCCCGGUUCGACGGGACUAACCGCCCAGCCCGUGGCACCCAGGGGUGCAGACCCUCAUACUGGCCGAGCGUGGUUUGGUGCAAUGGUAAGCGCUUGAUCCUGACAAUAUAAACAACAAUGUUAGUUGAUUUAUUUAUUUGUUAUUGAUUGCUGUUAAUAACUGGGGGGAAGGGGAAAGAGUUGGGUUGAGUGGUAAGAUAGGAGAAAUUAUAAAUAAGAAAUUAUGAAUUCAAACCCCCCCCCCACAAAAAAAUUUAUCCAAAAAAAAGGAAGAGUAAGAGAAUUAUAGGAUUAAGUGGAUAUUAUGAUUCCAUCACAUAAAUUUUUGGAGUGCCAAAAUCAUAGGGAGUUAUGUAGUUAUUUUGAAAACUUGAAAGGUAGGGGGGAGGGUGUGAUGUGGAUGCAUGAAAAACCACAAGGAAUUUACCUAUGUUGCGGCUAGCUAGAAAACUCAACUCAUGUCUCUAUGAUUUGUAAGUAAAUUGGAAAAAAUAUUAUUGAACACUAGAAUUGAAAUAUAUAUUAAACAAGGCAAAAGUGUAUUGCUAUCCUCAUAAAGGAGGAAAAAAAAAGUACAAGCAGAAGCAGAUAAACUAGGGAAAAAAAAACAAAAAGAAUACCAAGAUUCCUAACAUAAUGCUAGUACUUUGUGAUUUUCCAUCAGAUCUUCGUAGCUUUCCCAGUAGUAUCCAAAAGUCCACCCAUGAGAUCCUGCAGGCUCAGGCUUUUAAACUCUUCUAAAAGUUCGCGUGUCAAUGUCGUAGUAGAGUCUGUAUUUACAAUGCCAAGGUGCCAUCAAUAAUUCCCUGCCCACCAUAAAUUUAAAGCUUAUGUCAUCUUCCCAAGGCAGAGGGUCUAACAUGAUGUAAUGUGUUUCGGUCCAGACACCUUUGUCAUAAUCGUCAAGCAUCCAUAGUCGAAUCAGAUUUUGAUACCCUUCAAACUCAAGUAGGCUAAGGGUACCUGCCAAAUCCAACACAUAAAUGGAACUUUCUUGUUCAUGCUGGUAAUCUAGAGGAUGGGGGACAUACCCAAAAAUUUCACUAGCCAAAUUGAAGAAAAUUAUGGCAUUAUCAUGAUCUGGUGGAAAAGGACAGUCAUUAUUGACUACCCAGUGAAGACGUCCAUUAACAAACACAGCGGUACUACGAAUUGGAUAUGGGCAUUUGGAUCGAUUAAUGACUCUCCAAGAAUCUGAUGAUGAAUAAUAAUUGCCUUCACGUUUAAUGCUAAAGAUUUCACAACCGAAAUCACCGUCUAUGUCAUCUCCGUGCACAAAUUCUGCAGUGAAUAUUCUCACAACUUUGUUCUCUCCCGUAGAAGGUACAUGUCCAAAACCAAUUGCAUGACCCCAUGUUUGUGGAGAGCACUCUGGGAGAUUACAAAUUGGUGAGUUAUAGGAUUACAUAAAUAAAAAGGCCAAAUUAUCCCCCCUAAAAAGUUUAUUUUGUAAAUACACAGUAGCCCGUUGCAGGGGUCCAACACCAUGUUUAGUCCUCCACCCGUAUAGUGUUUUCCUCCACCCGUAUAGUAUUUUCCUUCCUUAGUGAAUUCUUGCACAAUGCUACGACCUUCUUCAUCUGCGGAUGUAAAUUGGAGGUACAGCGAUUUCCAUCACGGGAACAUGCUAAAUCUUGUAUGUAAAAGAAACAGGUUUUCUCCACUUAGUUUCCCACAAUUUCACGAACCAAGAAUCCGAUAAUAAGUUGCACCAUGUCUUGCAGACACACUUGCAUCUGAAGAGGGCUUUCAAAUGAAGCCUUGAUAGUACGUCAGUCACUAUCUCAAUUGGGAGUUCUGCCAUCUUCCUCUCUCAAUGUUAAACUCACUCCCUAGAACUUUUCUUUUCUUUCGUAUAUUGUUUUGAAGAAAUUCUUGUUUCAAAGUUUAUGUGACUGUGCUAGGUUUUAUGAGCCGAUUCAAUCCGUAGAGAGACUUAAAAGGGCAAUUUUGAAAGUAAAGCACUACAAUUUAGGCUAGGAUCUCGGUUUCAGUUCAUUGAGGAUUCUAAGUAUCACCUAGAAAUAUUAUUGCCAUAAUAAGCUAAGUGUCCUAGUUUUAUGCCUUGUCAUUUAAAUCCUUCCAUUUUUUACUCAGUCACAAAUUCGAUUUCAAAACGAACACUACAACUAUUUGGGCUAGGGACUAGUUUUCGAUAGAUAUGGGAUUCUCAGUGUGUAACUUAAUACUUUUGCCAUUAUAAGGUAAUUGUCGAUUUUAUUUUGGACUGGCCCAGUAAGAGAGCUCCAUUUGAACGCCCAAGGGGGAAUAUAAAGUGGGGUUUUGUUUGUCCAAAUGGAUACUAGGUCCAAGAUGAAACUUCUAAUAGAUUGGCCCAUUUUUUGGGAAAAUACCGGUUUUCAUCCCCAAACUUUGGACACAAGACACAUUUCGUCCCUCAUCUUUCGGGCAUGACAUAUUUGGUGUCUGAAUUAACAAUUUUUGACCAAAUGUCAUCCUCAGACGGCAAUUUAGCCAACCUUUAACGGAACCGGUCACGUGAUUUAAGUAAAUGUGGCUAUCCGAAGCAAAAUCAGGUGGAAAAUGACGUUGUCUUCACUUUACCUUUUUCUUUCACUUCAACAACUUCCUCUGCAAAUUUCCAAGACUACGCUCCAACUGCAAAUUUCUCCGAGAGUAAACCCCCUCUUCCAAUUAGAAAUAUAUAAUUAUAAUUAUAUAAUACAUAUAAAUAUUACUUAUACUAAUAUUUUAUAUAAUUAUAAUGUAUAUUAGAUAUUAAAUUUAAUCAUUAUAUAACAUUAUAUUCAUAAUAAUAAAUAUAAAUACAAUUAUAUAAUUUAUUAAUAUUAUAUACACAUAUAUAUUAUAAGGGAUAAUUUCAGAAACCCCCCCUGAAUUAGCUUAUGGAAAAAUGGGAAAAUGGAUAAUUUAUGGAGGAAAACCAUAAAGAGCUGGUGUUUUAUUGGAGAACGGGUUUAUUUUUAUUUUAUCAGAUAAAUAAAUUUGUUUAUGAAAAAAUAGGUACUCUAUUCUUAUAAUGGAGGAAAGCCAUAAAGAGCUGGGGCUAUUGAAAAACGGGUUUAUUUUUAUUUUAUCCAAUAAAUAAAUUUGUUUAUGGGAAAAUGGGUACUCUAUUCUUAUAAUGGAGAAAAGUCAUAAAGAGCUGGUCUUUUAUGAGAAAGUGAUACUUUACAGAAAGUGACCGCGAUUUGGUUUAUGAAAUUAUCCAAAAAAAUUUAGAAUGAAUUUGUUUAUUUAAUUAAAUAAUUUUUAUAUAUAUUUAUAUAAUGCAUUAUAUAAUUAUACUAAUAUAUUAUAUGAGUAUAAAGUAUAUUAUAUAUUAAUUAUAAUUUUUAGUAUAUAUUUGUAUAUUUAUAAUAAUAAAUAUAAAUAUAAUUAUAUAAUAUAUUAUUACUAUAUACGCAUAUAUAUUUAAAUAUAUGCACAUAUAAUGUACAUUUAUAAAUAUAUAUAAAUAUAUUAUUAGGGUAUAUACCCUAAUAACUAUAACAUAUUUAGGGUAAUAACUAUAAUAACUAUAAUAACUAUACCCUAAUACCCUAAUAACUAUAAUAUGUUUAGGGUAAUAACUAUAAUAACUAUAAUAUAUUUAUAAAUGUAUAUUGUAUGUGCAUAUAUUUAUAAUAUAUAUGUGUAUAUAGUAAUAAUAUAUUAAAUAAUUAUAAUUAUAUUUAUUAUUAUAAAUAUACUAAUAUUUACUAAAAAUUAUAAUUAAUAUAUAAUAUACUUUAUAAUCAUAUAGUAUAUUAGUAUAAUUAAUAUUUAUAUAUAUUAUAUAGUUAUAAUUAUAUAUUUUAUAAUAAUAUUAGUAUAAUUGUAUAAUGUAUUAUAUAAAUAUAUAUUAUAAUUAUUUAAUUAAAUAAACAAAUUCAUUCUAAAUUUUUUUUAGGAUAAUUUCAUAAACCAAAUCGCGGUCACUUUUUGUAAAGUAUCACUUUCUCAUAAAAGACUAGCUCUUUAUGGCUUUCCUCCAUUAUAAGAACAGAGUACCCAUAUUCCCAUAAACAAAUUUAUUUAUCGGAUAAAAUAAAAAUAAACCCGUUUUUCAAUAGCCCCAGCUCUUUAUGGCUUUCCCCCAUUAUAAGAAUAGAGUACCCAUUUUUUCAUAAACAAAUUUAUUUGUCGGAUAAAAUAAAAAUAAACCCGUUCUCCAAUAAAACACCAGUUCUUUAUGGCUUUCCUCCAUAAAUUAUCCAUUUUCCCAUUUUUCCAUAAGCUAAUUCAGGGGAGGUUUCUGAAAUUAUCCCUUAUAAUAUAUAUGUGUAUAUAAUAUUAAUAAAUUAAUAAAUUAUAUUUAUAUUUAUUAUUAUGAAUAUAAUGUUAUAUAAUGAUUAAAUUUAGUAUCUAAUAUACAUUAUAAUUAUAUAAAAUAUUAGUAUAAGUAAUAUUUAUAUGUAUUAUAUAAUUAUAAUUAUAUAUUUAUAAUUGGAAGAGGGAGUUUACUCUCAGAGAAAUUUGCAGUAGGAGCUUAGUUUUGGAAAUUUGCAGAGGAAGUUGUUGAAGUGAAAGAAAAAGGGAAAGUGAAGACAACGUCAUUUUCCACCUGAUUUUGCUUGAGAUAGCCACAUUUACUUAACGGUCACGUGAUUUUCACGUAACCGGUUCCGUUAAAGGUUGGCUAAAUUGCCAUCUGAGGAUGACAUUUGGUCAAAAAUUGUUAAUUCAGACACCAAAUGUGUCAUGCCCGAAAGAUGAGGGACGAAAUGUGUCUUGUGCCCAAAGUUUGGGGAUGAAAACCGGUAUUUUCCCCAAUUUUUUCCUCUCGUUAUUUAAAUCCUCCUGUUAUUUAAUCACAAAUCUGCUUUCCCUUUUAAGGUAAAUGAAGUUCAUUAUGGGGUUUGUCUAUAGGGCAACCGUUAAGAUACAUGUUAUGUGUCAUUUUUUUAAAAUAUAAGAUUAAUUAGGAAAAGUAAAUAAAUACAAAGGGAGGGCAAACAAUAUUAACUAGGAAAAGUAUAAAAAUACAAGAGAAGAUAAUAAUUGUUAGUAUGUAUACAUAUAUACUAGGUUAUGUGAAUAUUAAAUGUGUUGAGAAAUACCCUUAAUUAUAUAUUCUUUUUUCCUAGUUAUUUUAGUUUUCCCUUUUCAAACAGAGCUGUCCUUACUUCCAGUGUUAAAUAGUCUAAUCCAAAAGAAGGAGGUGAAACAUGCACUGCCAGUAAGCAUGUUAACUUCGGCUUUUUGUAAAAGUGGCCUUGUAUAACUAAGGUCUUACUAAUUGUUUGUGCCUCCAUUACUUGUUAAAAAUAAGUCGAGUUCAAAGAACCUUAUACUUUUGCCUACAUAAUGUACAAUUAGUGAGUUAAAAUUGAGUUCUAAUUGUUGCUGAUAAUGACACGCAAAACCCUUGAUGAGAAUUUGUCUAAAUACUAUUCUCUCCUUUCCAUUUUGAUAUUCUUGUUUUUCUUUUUUUAUCCGUCCCAAAUUAUAUUCUACUUUCCAGUUAAAAAAUAUAGUUAACUUUUAACCUCUCUAAAAUGUCCUUAUUUAAUGUACUUUUAUCAUCAGUGAAUAUAACCUACUUUAUUCAUUAAUUGUUUUGAUUCAUGGCUUGAAUGGUGCAACUUUUCAUCGAUAUUGUUGUUACCAUUAAUGUAAGAGUAAAUCUUUCCUACACUGACGGUGUAUACACUAUCUUCGUUGGAUUCAUGACAUGUGUGCCAAAGUUAAUUUUCAAAUUCAAAUUUUGCAUAGUUGUCAAUUAUCCAACGAUGAUAAUGUAGUAUUUUGUUAUUCUAUCCUAAUCUAUAGGAAGAGGGAGUCUAAGGAGGUUUGUGUGUUAGGAAUUAGUAGGUGUACAAACCUGACGAGACCAAAGACGGUGCCAUGGAUUUUUUUUGCUACUGGUGGGAUUUGAACCCGCCAUCUACAGCCCAAGGAAGGACUUAAAUCCCUCCCUGGUGGCCAGGGAGCUAGGCUUAGUUGCUUGUUAACCGUAUUCGAUCACUGAUAGUUUCUAUGCGAGUCACGAUGGUAUGACAAUUUUGUACUCGCAAUUUGGACCUGCUCUCUGUUGAAUUUGUAUAGCUAUAAAAAGAAGAAAAAAUGAACAAAAUUUACAUAUGAUUUUAUUUGUCCCGUGAAUUCUCAGUUUGUCUUGAAACUGAAAUUUUCAAUCCAUGUUCCAUCCAUAAAAUUGUCAUCAUCCUAUACUUCAUCAUAUGCCCUAGCACCAGUUUGAAUUUGUGGACUCUGCAUUAGAUUGACAUUAAUGUCAUAUUUAUCUUUAAUUAUGUUGAAUCCUUCCAAGUUCCAAUGGCAUAUCAUUAGCUUAGCCCUGCAUGUGACAGGUAAUCAGAUGAUUAAGACAAAAAUGUUAUCCAAAUCAUUAUUAACUUUGCAUAUACAUGUUGUUUAGGGAUAGGCAUUUAGAUCAGAAAGGUAGCCCUUCGGAUAGUUCUCAAAGCCAGUCCUUGUCACUUGAAUUCUGUGGCAUAGUAAAUUGUCAUACUACUCUUGUGUCUCUCUAUUAUUUUUAGGAUAAUUUCACAAACCUCUUGAGGUUUCUAACAAUUUUACUCGCCUCUGUUGAGAUUUGCAAAAUAACACUAACCUCCUUUAUAGUGUUUUAUUUGAGAAAAAUUACUCAUAUACCCUAAGAUAUUAUGUCUUAUUGGAAACUAACAUCUAGCAAUUAAGUAAUUAGGGUAGUAAUUAACUGUUAGUAACUAAUCAAUGAAAAAAGCUAUUAGAAAAAUUUUUAAAUGAUGAGGAAUAACUUGCAAUUUCAAAAUGGUGCUAAUUGAUGUACCAAAUAUUUGUUCACUCUUAAAAAUUGAUACACCAAACAGUAAUUUGUCUCGAUAUUGUACUUUUAAAAAUCUUCAUAGUUGCCUUACAAUUAAACUUGCAAUAUUUGUUUUUGAUGCUAAAGGUUGUGGGUGAAUUUUAUGAUUUCCUCCAGUAGUUUGACAAGGCUAUAGCUUCUGCACCUACACUUUACCUUCAACUUGCGAAAUCUACAGAAAAUCACUGUUUUUCCACCUCAAAUUUUGCUGCUUGAAGUGAAAAUGAGAUCCAUCUUAAUGCUCCUUGUUGCCUUUUAUAUGCAAAAUGGUAAAGAUAAAAAAAUAGCCAUUAUAAUCCAAUGCACUAGCUGUUGAUCUAACUUUGUAGAGAAAGUUAGUUGGUACUUAUUUUUGGUUCUUUGCUAUUUAUACUUACAUUCCCUUACUUUUAUUGAUAUGUUUUUCAAUCCUUUACAAUACAAGUUGUACACAAGCAUAAAGGGUAUUUGUUGAAUAAAAUUUUUAUCUCUCUUCUCAAAGUAAUUUUUUAAUGCCUUUUUUUUUUCUAAUUUUGACUGAUUUUGUUACCAAAACCUUAACUUCGGGGGAGGUUAGUGUAAUUUUACGAACUUGAAUUGGAUUAAACCAAAAAGGAUUUUUGUAGCGGCUACUCUAUGAUCAAAUUAAAUUGAUUAAAUUGAAAUUUCUAAUCCUAUCUUUGAUUAGAGCAUGAAUGAUAAAUAUCUUAACCAAAAUAAAACACUUAUUAACAAAAUUAACUCAGUGUCCUACUUACGAAUCGUUGCCUUUUUUUGUCUGGGAGUAGGAUAGGAGAUAUAAUCAUCUGGAUAAUGAACCACAAUUUACACUACUGCAUUACUUCAAACUUGCUACCUAAAUGGCAACUUGAGAAUGGGUGGCAAAGGUGGCAGUUCUGGCGGCAACAGCGGUGUAGACAACGGAGGAGGGAACGGAAGUUCUGGUGGCAGUGGUUUGUCUAAGGGCGGAGGCAAUGGUGGUGCCGGUGGUGGAUAUAUGAAAGCACCGGGUGACGAUAGGUCAUAUAUUUCAAGAGCCGGAUUUGAGGCAAAUCCUCAGCUCUACAUUUCGGGCUUACAUGGUAGCCAGAGGGACAAAUGGACUUUUACAUUGAACAAAAUGUUAGAAUUUUUUAAAUAAACAUUAGAUCUAUGUUGAAUUGUCAGCUCCAUAUGGUUUGGAUCAACGAAAAUUUUAUUGAAGUAUUAAACAAUCUGUAGUAAGUGGAUUUUUUGUUUUCCAAUUUUGGUAUUUUUUUCUUUAGCAAUUACUCCAUAAAAGGCAAUGGAAUUUAUUGGAAAGAUAGUUUAAUUUGGAGAGCACUUCCGACUCGUUUGAUUAAGUUUUAGACCAUAAUUACAUGCAAAUAUGGUCAUAUGACUACCUCCAAUGGCCACCUACAAGCAACUCAUUUCUUAGCAUUUUUUUCAGUUUGAUAUCUACUCAAUUUUCUUGAGGCAUAGCAUAUAUAUAUAUAUAUAUAUACACACACACGAUAGAUCUACAUCUAUUCUAUGUUUCGGGGAGAAGGGGAACCUGAAGAGAUCAAGCAGAAACCGGAGGGGAUUGAACCUUGGCUUGCCACAUUUUUUGGAGCCCAUGGUAGGAGGCAGGGUUUGAUCUCCUGACCUCCCAUCCCACCAACUUCGGUGAUGGCCACUGAGCAGUUACAUGUUAACUUUGUCACUUUAGUCAUUUUUUCCGUAGAAGACACUACUAUUAGAUGUUAGAGAAUGCAUAGUCUUUAAAUUCUAUGAAUUCUAGGCAAAGAUCAGUCUUCCCUUUAAAUGGAUAUGAAAAAGGAUGUUAACGAAAAAAGUUUUUCCUUGACUGCCAACACGAAGCAAUACCAUCUCAUGGGAAUUAAUUAAAACUGCCUUAGUAAGUGUUGGCCUUGGUCCCUUGCUUUUGAUGUUUACAAAACAAUGGAUAAUACUAAUAUUUCUCCAAGAUAUACUUUCAGCUAUGAUGCAAAUCAGAUUCAAAGAUUAAUCACAUUUGAAAGGGACAAAGUAUGCUGAAGCUGUCGGACGCUCAAGAAGUCAGGAUCGGACGUCCGAUAAUCGUUGCGACACUUCGAACGUAGAAAACCAGACUACCGGACGUCCGAAAGAAUUGAAGAAAAAUUCUCAGUUUUACAUCGUACCUUCGGACGCAGAAAACCAACCUACCGGACGUCCGAAAAAAUUGAAGAAAAUCUCUUAAACUCACUGCCUACUGUUGGACGCAAAAAACAGGAGUACCGGACGUCCAACACUCCCAACGGCUAGUUGACUGUUCAGCUACUUUCUAUCCGUUGGAAGCUUUAAUGAAGCACUUUGUUGAUCUCCUAUAAAUAGAGUAUGGUCAGAAUCUUCAAAUAACUUUUGCACACUGAAGAUACAAAAGAUCUAGAGUGAUUUUAGUGAGAAAAUACUUUUCAAAGAAGAUUUGUAGUUUUAGUGGUGUGAGGUUCAUUGUAAGCUUUUCAUUUGUGAGUGAAUACUUCAUGAGUGUAGCUCUGUGAGGGUUGUCCUGAGGGAUAGUAAAACGUCCUGGUUUGACCGAGUGGAGUUCGGGGCAAGGAGGAGGUGAACCUUCCUUUGUACACAAGAGUGAUUGUAAUUCAUCAACUUGAAGUAGCUUGUUUGAAUUAAUCUACAAGCUCAAGAGGAGUUGGGUAGUUAAUUGGUUUGAAAUUCUUUCCCUUUUAUUUAUUUAUUGUUAUAUUGUGAUCUUUUAAUUGCUUAUCAAUUGGCUUUUCGAUUGGUUGUUUUCGAUCCUAACAGUAAGUUUGAGUAGUAAAAUUGAAAUCAGAAGUAUAACACUACAAAUUUCAAUUGUUACCACCAAAGCGCAUUAAACAAAUAAAUAAACCAAAGAAAAAGUUUUUCACCUUCACUGCCAUGCAUAACUAUCUACACGUACAAAACAUCUUAUAAGGUCUUAGAAUAUUCUUUUUUCCCUCAUUGCAAAAGUAAAGUCUUAAAAAAUGUUAGAAAAAUGAUUCAAAACGUCUCUUAUAUUUUGCAACAUGACUUUUUUAUCCCUCACUUUUAAAAGUUUAAUUUUACAUCUCUUACAAAUUUAUAUUGGUCAAAUUUGAUCCCUACCUAAGUUUUUGAAUAGUUUUUAGUCGGAUUAGACCACGUGCUUUACACAUGAUCAUUUUUUUAGGGUUAAAAUUGUUAAAUUAAAUUUCACAUAAUCCGAUCCACAAUCUCUCAUAUUUCACAAAGUGAAUUUUUCAAAAAUUUUAAAGAUUAUUACACAGAUAAAAGCAUAUGAAAAAUAAAUUUUUUCCCUUUUCUUCCGGGAACCUUAUAAUAUAAAUUCCCUAAUGAUCUGUAAUUCCGUUUUCAGAUUCUUAGUUGGACUAUAGAUUGAACAGAAAACUACGUUCAAAAUUUUAAGGAUUAAUCUUUAUCCCAAAUAUCUCUAAAAAAGAAUACAAAUUCCUUGAAUUAGAUGUCACAUGCUAAAAAAUCCGUGUAGUCAAAUUAGUUUCCCCAUGCAGUCAUGCAUUUGACUCUUAAAUUCACAAGAAAAAUUUAUCAUUUCAAGUGCAGAAAUUAAAUACUUCCUAAUCAAAUUAUGCCUAUAUAAACCCCACUCAUCAUCCAAUCGAAGUGUUGGCAUCAAAAUUGUAAUAACUUCAACAAUUACUACUAUUGUUUAAGUGAUCAAGAUUGAAGAGCAUUUGGAGAUGGAUAACAAGGGUUGCAGCAAAGAAACUGGGGUAGGUGCAGCAGGAGCCGGUGGUGGCAAUAGCAGUGGUGGUGGGACUAACAAAGGUGGCAACAAUGAUCAGAUCAUGAAGGCUCCUGGUGGUGAUGGAGCAUAUACAUCAAGGACUGGCUUUGAGAACGAUCCAAAGGGCUACUUUUCUGACCUGCAUGCUAAGGAGAAGGCCAGCAAAUGAAGAAGGGAUGUUUGAGUAUCUAAAGAUAAAGGGUAAAAUACAUUAAACCCCCCUGUGGUUUGGGUUAUUAUCAUAAAGCCUCCUCAUUGUUUGAAAACCCCCAAAGAACCCCCUCAUGGUUUGGACUAAUUUGGACAAUGGACGGAAAUCAUCCAAUUUGACGGAAAGUGAAUUACACACGCUUGACAAGCGAGUGUGAUAACAAUACAUCAAGGGUAAUGUGAUAAUUUUAUGUUCUCUUUUCUUUUCUUUUCUUUUCUUUUUUUCUUUGUUCUUCCUUUUUUUUUCUUUCUCCUGAACCAUCUAGAGUAGAAAUUUCAUGAAUUUAGAUGAAAUCUAAGACCCAAUGGUGUUGAAGAUGACGAUGAAGGCGGUUACCAUGGCAAUUGAAGCAUCAAAAAUUAUCAUUGAUAGAUUGAUUCGUACACUUCCAUCACUGUAGCAGAUGAAUUUAGUUGUAAACUCGGGGGCUGCUGGGCGGGACAAAUCCUCCUCCUCCGGCGCUACCAGGUGGGUUUGGCAUGUGGAAUAUGGCACUGAAACUUCACCCAAAUUCCAGUGAAUUUACUCUCUGCUCAGUAAUAUUACUCCGGCACCGCCUUUAGUGAAUUUACUCUCUGCUCAGUAAUAUAACUCCGGCGCUACCAGGUGGGUUUGAAGUUUCAGUGCCGGGCUUGGAACUGAAGGCAGCGAUACAGAUGGACUUUAUUAUCAUUUGGCACAAAUACAGUUUCCCAAUUUCCAAUUUGCGGUGAUACAGAUGGACUUUAUUAUCAUUGAACUGAAAUUUGGCACAAAUACAGUUUCCCAAUUUCCACCCAAAUUCCAGACUGAAACUUCAAAGCUUCGUGCCUCCCUCACCUCGUUUUCUCCGCCCUCCAAAUUAGUAACAAACAUAUACUCACACGCUCCCCUAUUUUCUUUGGUACGACUCCACCCUAACUCUCUUCAUCCUUGUCUCUCCCAUUUUUAGCUAUUACGUCACGCACCUGCAAUCUCCGGGCGUAAGCUCAACUCCAUCAACGGCCACCUUAAUUAGUGAAACCUCACCGGAAAAUGUCACAAUCUAUUAAUUUAUCCAUUUCCACCUCCUCACCAACUUUCCCCAAUUUCGCAUCCCUUUCAAGAUCCUCAACUUCGUUCCUCACCGGAAGUUUCUAGUUCCCAGUCAAAUUCAGACCCUCCAGUCUACGUACACCAGCACUACCGGAGCUUCUCAUUGCCAAAGCCUCCUUCGAUCUGGACGCACCUUCAACUUCAGCUUUUGCUUCCGCUGCAGCUGCGACUCUAGGUUCGGAUAAUGGUUUGGGAGGGGUGUUAUCGGCUGUGACGCCAGCGGACAUGGGCUCGAUUGAGGUGGAUGCGGUGAUGGAGGCUGAGUUGAAGGAGAAUAGGUUUUCAGUUGAAUGGUGGCUGUGGUAAUUGGUGGCUGUUCUACUGUUGUUGAAGAAAAAAGUGGAGAUUUGGAGAAGAUGAUAAGUUUUAAAAUUUUCAAAUGAGCCACUUGAUGUUUCUUUAUUCUCAAAUGAAGUGAAAAAGUUUUUAAAUCUUAUGUGAAUCUUGAACUAACUUUUAGUAUAGAUUGAAACAAGGUUAAUAUAGGAAUUUCAUAUUUUCCGUCAAAUUAGAUGAUUUCCGUUCAUUGUCCAAAUUAGUCCAAAUCACAAGGGGGUUCUUUGGGGGUUUUCAAACAAUGAGGAGGCUUUAUGAUAAUAACCCAAACCACAAGGGGGUUUAGUGUAUUUUACCCAAAGAUAAAUAAAAAUGUUGACUAUUUAUGUACUUUCAUCAACUCUAAAAUUUGGAUCAAUGGAGAUAAUAUAUUGAAGUAUUAAACUACCGGUUUUGUGUUCAACCCCAUUUAGUUAAUUUGUGGUUUUAAAAGCAUUCUUUUGCAUUAAAUAGUCCCCACAUUUUCUUAAGGCCGAAUAACCAAUAACUAUUUCGAAGCCAAAUGCACACAAAUUGAACACGGUUUACAGGUAUGUUCUUCCUCAAUUUCUACCAUCAGAGCUAAUAAGGCGAUGUUCAUUCUUAUCAAGAGGGUUAUAGAUAAAAACUAAAAAACAAAAACAAAAUCUUCGUACAUUCUGUACCAAAAAUCCAACAAUACUUCGCGACACGGCUGGAAGGGUCACUUGCAUUUCAAGGGGCCUUUUGAAGGAGGCCUUUGAUUAUAUAUAUAUCAGCUAUAAUCUCAAAUAAUACCAAAAAAAAGCUUUAAUCAAAAAGCAAUAAUUAAUUUUUGCCUCAAAGCUUCUCGGUUUCAACUAAUAAAGGAUCCUGAAUAUCUAGACGAAAAUAGUGCCAUAGCGGAAACAUCAUAAUUUAUUCCUUGCCGCUUUUUUUCUUUUUUGUCAAAAGCAGUAUUUAAUUUCAUUUCUAGCUUGCUAACAUAAGGUUUGUUAUAAAAGCGUUACUACCCGAGUGAUCUUUCUGUGCACUCUAUUCUUGACCAUGAAUUGGAUUGGGUGCAUUAAAAAAAAAAGAAAGGUGAAUUUGAAUUUGGCCUUCUAAAAUAGACCAACUUACCAGUUCAACUAAACACUUAAAACUGGAAAUUUCAAUCCAAAUGACGCUUUGUGUCAAUUCAUAUGUGUUUAUUAAUUAAAAUUUCGUCAAACUUAAGUGGUAUACUGAAUUCCUAGCAACUUUGGCUUUAAUGAGAUACAAAGGAAAAAGAUAGUGAGUGCUCUUUUGAUUAGUUUUGAAAGAUUUGAGAUGGCAGAUUAACUCUUUUUUUUUUUUAUUGGAAGAGCAACACUUUAUCAUUCUUAACUCAUUUAACUUGGAGAUUAAUUGCUUCAAACUUCUUGAAGUUAGUAGGGUUUCACUUUGAGACAUAAAUUGAUGGAAGGGAUCAUUUGGAACAAAAUUUCGAAUUGGAGGGCUUAACUAUGAUGUAAUAACAUUUAAGGGUUGAAUUGACAAUUUGGUCAACUUUAAAGGACCAAAAACAGAUUAUCAAAAUGAAUUUUCACCCUUUUUAAGCUAGACCUGAAGAUUAUUGACAAAACCACAAAAAUAGCUACAGUUGAAUCAAUGAUAAACAUCUUAAAUCAAAAUAAAACAAUCUUAAGAAAAUCAAGUCGCCAUCCUACUUUCAAAUUACUUUUGUUUGUUUGUUUAUACAAUUUCCUCUAACAGACUCAUUCCACUUUCACACAGAUUAAGAAGAAUAGUUAAUGUAAUCAUUUUUGCUUAGUACCUUUCUUAUAUGCCCCCCUAUUAAUACUUUGUUUUAGUGUUACACUAUUUAAUUUAUUAUUUAUAGUAAAAUGAUUGACUAAUAAAAUAGCAUACUUACUAAUUAAGAUACAAUUUAACUAUGGAUAUAGCAGUAAAUCCAUAUACUAACCUACACUUCAAAAAAAAAUUAACCUAUAAUUUAGGAUAAACACAAAAGAAAAAUGGACCUAUCUUAUUGAACGGAGAGAGUACUAUUUUUUACUUCUCUCCCACCCCAGAUCCCCAGUAUCUAGGGUCCAUGAACUAAAUUUAUUAUGCUACAGAAUUCGAGUUAAAUUUACCAUCCUACAGAAUUCAAUUCGAGUAGUCCAAGUAUUCUCAACAUGCAUGCAUUACAUUAAUUUGGGCUAUCACAAAAUUUUUGCUUCUUAAUGGAGUUGAUGAUUCGAAGACAGCCUUUGCCUCACUUCUUAUCAAAAUUUGCCUAUAAAAACUGACCAGUCUUGGCAUAAUGAUCCAUCCGCGAGCAGUUUAGUGCUAUACUGGUAUAUGAAUUGUUUCAAACUUGUUAGCUAAAGAGCAACUUCAAAAUGGGUCAAGGUGGGAGUUCUGGAGGAGGAGCCAAAGGUAGUGGAGGCAACGGAGGAGGGAAAGGAAGCUCCGGUGGCGGUGGUUCGUCUAAAGGCAGCGGCAGUGUUGGUGCUGGCGGUGGAUAUAUGAAAGCACCUGGUGGUGGUGGCUCAUACAUUUCAAGAGCCGGAUUUGAGGCAAAUCCUCAAGGAUAUUUCUCGGGUUUACGUGGUGGCCAGAAGGGCAAAUGAACUUGUAUAUUGAAUAAGAUGUUAGAAUCUAGCGGCAUGUCUUUUGUACUUGUGUUGUGAAGAAAGCAAGAUGGAUGAUAAUAUUGUAAAUGAGAUGAAGGAUGAAAUUUCUCGUCUAGUACAAAAGGUCAAGCCUUUUCAGCCAAAUGUGAGGGAGAUUUAUAUCAAAGCCCUCAAAGCUUUAGAAUCAUCACUGCAAGAUAUCAUUUUGGUGGAACAACCUGUUCUGCACUUUCUCUAUACUCUUCUUCGCCAUAUGAUAGAGCUAUCAAAUGUGAAGGCAAGAUUCAAGAGAUCUGUAAUGGAUCAAAUCGAAGCAUUGCAUGAGGAGCUGCAAAUUAUUAGUUGUUAUCUCUUUGAUCCAUCAGCUUCGCAAUACACUCAGAAAAUUAAGAAAGUGAGCCAUCUACUUUUGCACAUCAAAAUAGUGCUCUGUCGUGCAGCAUAUGCUAUUUAUGCAUCUUAUGACAGUGAUAUUCCUGAAGAAAUGGCUGGGGAGCUGAAUCUUAGAAUUGCCGAUUUGCUGCUAGAGAUAGAGGUUAUCAAGAUAAAAUCGAGAUACGUCUAUAGUAAUAUAAUUCCAAAAUCUCCAAAACUAAUGAACUAGGCUUCAUGGAUUUUGUGAUCAAGAAUCUGCAAGAGCUGCUAAGUUCAAAUGCUGAUUCAAUUCUUCAGCUGCAGUAUCAAAUGGAGAUGGUUCUUGGAAGCGUAUUAUCUCUCAGAGAAGAUUUUUUUGAAAUUGGGGAACAACUUUUCCGAGAACAGGAGGAGCAGAGAGACCCUUGGCUACGUUUCAAAGACAUUGUAUGCCAGACUGAAUUUGUCAUUGAUUCAUUUAUUGCCAGAAGUGGUCAUCUUUGGGAAUGGAAAUUGGGGCUGUUUGAUAUCCUACAACAGAUUAAGAUUAUCAGCAGAGAGGUGCAUGCUAUUAAAACCAAGAGGACUACCAACACUCAAGUCGCCAAAUUUCCAAUGAACCUUAGUGGUUUUUCUUCUCUAGCUGGUUAGGAAAUUUGUUGGAUUGCAAGGUCCCAACCAUGAGGCUGGAAAUGAAACAAAGAAGUCCAUUGGCCAUGUGGAGCUUUUUGCUGAUGAAGCAAAAAAGAUAAAGAAGCAACUUACUAAUGGUUUCACAGAGUUGUACAUACUCUCGAUUGUGGGAAUGCCUAGCAUUGGUAAGACAACACUAGGCAAUUUGAUAUAUGAAAAUCCUUAGGUUCCCUUAUGCUUUGAUGCUCAUGCAAGGUGUCAUGUCAGUCACGUAUAUGAAAAGAGAAGAUUGUUGCUUGAAAUCUUACUGCAAGUUUGCGGGAAAACUGACCAAGUAUGGACAAUGGAGGAUGAAGAUUUAGCUUAAAAGUUGUAUCAAAGUCUCAAGGGAAAAAAGUUUUUCAUCUUCUUGGAUGAUUUGUGGGAUAUUAGACCAUGGAAUGAUAUGAAAGCCUCUUUCCCAGACGAUAAGAGUGGCAGUAGAAGUACAAGCAGAUUUCAAAAUAUUGCUUCAGAAGCAGGAUUCAAGAGCGUGACAUAUCCUCUUAACCCACUAUCAAAUAGUAGGACCUGGGAGUUACUGCAAGUCAAGCUAUUUGGAAAAAGCAAGGUGCCCUUAAGAACUUGUCAAUGUUGGUUGGAAAAUUGCAACAGAAUGCAAAGGCCUAACUCUUGCUGUGGAUUUGGUAACUGGACUACUGGGAAAGAAGGCAAGUAAUACAGAAUGCUGGGCACAGGUUGCAAAUAGUUUAAACACAAACCUUCUUGAAGAUGAAGACAGACGGUGUAUGCACAUACUGGAACUUAGUUACAGGCAGUUACCAGACCAUUUGAGGCCAUGCUUUCUUUAUUUCAGAGCAUUUCCUAGGAACACAGAAGCGCCAACAAAUAAGUUGAUGUGGCUAUGGAUUGCAGAAGGAUUUGUUCAACUGCAAAAAGAUGAUGAAGGAAGCUCAGAGGAUGUCGCUGGGAGCUACUUGACUGAUCUAAUUGGCAGAAGCCUUGUAACAGGUUGCAAAAGCGUAUCCUCCGAUGGAGUGAAAGCAAGCUGCGUCCAUGAUCUAUUGCAUGAUUUUGCUCUGGCAACAGUUAAAGAAGAGUGCUUUUUGCAGCUGCAAACAUGUGUUCAUUCUGAUCAUUUGUCUUCUCAUGCCCAGACAUUGUACGAGCCAUACUGUCUUUGCAUCAAAGCCUUUUGGCCGACGUCUUCGCUCUCUAGUGUCUUCUGACUUUUCAUGUUCUUGCCCGUUUGAGAGCUUCAAACUUUUCAGGGUGCUGGAUAUUUUGCACAUCAACGUUGGAUUCACUCCUCUCAUAUGUCAGCUAGUUUAUUGAAGAUUCUUAUCUGUUUGCACUUCCUCAACAAAGAUGUCCUGGGAAAUAAGCAACCUCCAAAACGUGGAAACUUUACUAGUGAGAUCAUGUCGAGGAAUGCAAUUGCCCAACACUAUUUGGAGACUGGUGAGAUUGAGGCUAUUGAGGAUAGAUUGGUUUUGAUAUUUUCCAUUGUAUAAUCAAGAAUUCAGGCAGAAGGCCUUCAAGUUUAAUAGCUUACAAACUCUUUCAACACCACGUUUGUUUUUCCAUGACCAUAAAGAUAUUGGGAAGACCUUGGGAGCCAUGCCAAACCUUUGAAAGCUGAGUUGCAUAUUUCUGGUUUCACAGGAUUUUUCUUCCAAAUGCAACUUUUUGCCUGUUUUGGACUUCCUCACUCGACUUGAGUCGCUCAAUGUGGUUAACCACGGUCAGUUGCUUCAUUAUCCUUUUGAAUUCAACUUUCCACAAAAUAUUAAGAAGUUGAAUCUAUCAGAAUUUCAGUUGCCAUGGAGUGCCAUUUCAAGCAUUGGGAAACUGCCCAAUCUUGAGGUUCUUAAAUCAUCAGAUGCUUCCUUUAAAGGGAAAACAUGGGAAAUGAAAGAAGGGGAAUUCCUUAAACUCAAAUUCUUGAAGACGUUGCACACUGGAAUACCUCAGAGGAUCAUCUCCCUUGCCUUGAGACUCUAGUUGUGAAGAACUGCCACCAACUUGUUGAGAUCCCUCCUGGUUUAGGGGGCAUACUCACACUGCAGAGGAUUGAGUUGCAGGGGAUUCAGCCCAGAGAGUGAAAGAAUAGGAGGAAAUGGGAAAUGACCAGAUUGUUGUCAUCAAUAGCCUAGGUUAUGUAUAUUAUCAUAAUAUCAGCCUAGAAAAUUAUCAAAUUCAUCAUAGUAGUUCAUGUGUUGUAAUGUAGAUUGCAGAAAUUGUCUCCUGUUUCUCCUAAUGAAUUCUUCUUUCAAUUGGGUGUUCCAUUUUGUUCUUUUGUCCACUUUCUUCACUUUAUAAGCAUGAUCCAUUCAAUUAUACCUCACAACAGAUUGACUUUUCCUAUCUGGUGCUAAAAAUGGAAUAGAUGGAUUUGUUAUACCAUUCAACCAUUCGAAUAAAAAAAAAAAAAAAUCUGAUUAACACUUGAAGCAUACCAGUUGCAUGAAUCUGGAUGAUCAGUAGUGUCUCAUAAUUGGCUGAUUUCAUUCAUUUUCCAAUUAAAGCAUUUCAUUCAAAUUUUUAACUAUGCAAUUGAGAAGUGCAAAUUUUGAGAUUAGACAACUUAUAAGUUGUCCUGUGGAUGGACAUCGAAAUGAAUGAACUGGCCGGCUCCCUUGAGCGAUCUCUAAUUCUCUACUCAACUGCUGGACGCCCCCAAGCAAUCCGCUUUGGUUGGUGGACUUGUGCAUCAAUUCCUUCGCGAUACACCAUUACUCUUUAAAUUGAUAGAUUGGAAAUAUUAGAUGCUUCUUAAUUCCUGAUCUACUAUAGUUUUGGAUUAAAUUUUAUGCGUUGAUAGUAUAGUGAUUUUUUUAUACUAAUAGCGACAUAUGUAUGCCACAUUAUGUAUGAUUUGAAUUUUUAAAUUUGAAUUUAUGCUAUAUAACAUUGAUCUAAACUUGCUAGUAUUUAAUAUAUAUAUAUAUAUAGAUUGACAAUAUAUAAAAAACUUACUCGUAUGUUUCUCAGCUACGCAUCGAAGUUUAGAUGAGCAAAAGUGCAAGAUUAUUGUAAAUGAUGGAUUUAAAUAAUUAGGGACUCACAACAGUCACAAGAGAUUGAGAUUGAGUUUUUUGGAUCAUGGGCCUCACAUUUCAGACCAUUUCAUCCGAGGGGCUGUAAAUAAGUAGAGAUCCAAUGUAAGAUAUGAAUGACUGAGAUUAUGAUGUAAAAAAAAAUUUAAAAAUAACUAUUUUUCUCCCAACUAAUUUGAAAUAAAACUUGCGAGAGCAGUAAUCCUGAAUUUUUCAAUCAUACUAUGAGGUUAGUAGCAUUUACGUCUCAAAAGGCACCCCUAAAGGACCAUAAGCUUUGACCCCAACAUAUAUAGAGUAAGAUUCUCUUCGGAUAUUGAAUAAUGUGACAAGUCGUUAUAUAUUGUACUAUAGAUUUUAUUUUUUAUUAGUUUUCUCCUUUCAAAUUGUUUAAUAAGUUGAAAAAAAAAGUUGAUUAUGCAGAAUAGCCCUUAGAUUCUUUAAAGUAAUUGAAGCCCGUUCCAAAUAUUGAAAAUGAAAUGUAUGGCAUUUUCAUAAACAACUUAAAGGAAGAAAAUGUAGAGUAAACGGAGUAAGCCUUAACGUUUGGAAAAAAAAAAAAAACAAAAAAAACAAACGGAGUAAGCCUUAACAUAUUGGAUACUGCUAUUACUUCAUGCAUUAUUUGCAACUGGAACCUAAAUCUAAAGCAUGUAAUUUUGGCUAUGGUACCAUUAGACUAAAGCCUUAUUAUUUUACUUUGUUUGGACACUAGAUUAUUUUUCAAAUUUUAUUUGAUUGUAUCAUCAAUACAUUUUCUAACCAUCUUUUUAUCUGGUAUAUAACACAUCAAAAAAAUGUUAUAGCAUUUUGUUCAAAAAAUUAUUCGAAAUAUUCUACUAUCCAGAGUUUUCAGGCAAACUUCAAAUUUGAAAAUUUUCUACUAAUAAUUAUUGAUAUCAAGCUGUUCUGGGUAUUUUCUCCUUUUAAGUAAUUAAAUGCUUCAAUAAUUAUUUUGGAUUUGGAUAUAGAUUCUGAUUUUACGUCAUAAUCACUAAUCCUUAUUGGAUUUUUUCUUUUCUGGAGUAGGUAAAACUUUUCAUUCCAUGAUAAACAAAGCUUCUGUGUUGAGUAGCUAAAUAAUGUGCUAACGAACAGCCCCUAUAUCCAUAUGGAAAAGUUUCAUAAGGGCUAACCUAAAUCUAAUAUGGAUUUGUUAAUGAGAUACCUAAACCACAUGUAAGUUACUAUCUAAAUACACGCUUAUAUUUAUUGCAUCAUCUUAUGAUAUUUUCUCUAAACUAACUACACUAUUCAAAAAGAAAUUUUUUAAAAAAAAAACUAACAGUUGAGCUCUUUCUUAUCGAGUAUUUAAUAAGCACUUGUUAGUCAAACCGAUUUAAUAUAUAGACUGAAGAAAUAUUAGAAGGUUUAACACUCUAUAAUGCUUCAUUUCUAGGGAUCGAAAUUUUCCUAACAGAGAGAGCAUUAGAAGGAACCUAUGAGAUGAGGGUGUCCACUUUUGCAUCCAAUGUCCACUUCCAUAUAACCAAAAUGAAACCUCAAGGAAGAAGCUCAUGCACAUUCAAGACUCCCCAAUGUUCCAAUUCCAAUUUCAUCCUUCCCUUUUCCCCUUCUCCCUCGUAAGCCUUAGAGUCUAUCUUUGACUCCAAAAAGGGGGGAAAAAAAAUCCUACUCUAAGAUCUUCAAAAGCCCAAAAACAAAAAAGUAACAAAUAAUAAAAGGAAGAAAAAAAUUUAACAAAACGCCCGAGUUACUUUAUAACAUCAUUUGACUUCAUACAUCAAAAAUAACACAUUCACAUUCCAAACGUUUUUCUUAACAGUAAUCCCAAAAGACUCAUUAGUAAAAGAGAGGAAAAAGAAGUAAAGGACUGGUGCAGAAAGCUAACAUGAAGUACUUAGAUUCAUGAAGGAAAAAACAAAAACAAGAGUUUUGAGGAAAUUAGUUUUACACUUUUUGAGAGUCAAAAGAGUAAUUACUGAUAAACACUAGAGUCAGCUUACUAGUCAGGAGAGAGCUCUUAGAGUUCUUCUCGCUAUCAAUUUCAGGGUCAAGGCCUAACAAUUGAAUAUAAGGAGAGACAGAAGGUAUAAAAAACAAAAAGUAAUUACCGAUAUGAAAAACUCAUGACACAAUAUAUAAAAUUGAAACUUUUUUCCCUUGUGACACGGUAUAUAAAAUUGAAACUUUUUUUUUUCGGGAAAAUGGAAUGCCUAAAGACCCAUUGAAAAAAUAACUAUGGGACUGCCAAUAUACCCUGGCUUAAAUGCGCAAGUGCACAAGUGGCAUCCCUAAACAAAACCACCAGCAGAUUGAAACUUUGCCCCCAACACAUUGUUAUAUAUAAUAAAGUGACAAAAGAGCAAAAUAACCUUAAUGUUAGGGUAACCAAACAUACCCGAAUUCAACCCAAAUCCCAUCCCAGCCCAUCCCCCCAGCCGGACACCCCACCCCCCAUCCCCUCCAAGCCCACCAAUAUGAAAAACCUGAAAUGACAUCAAGAGCAAAAUACCCUUAAAUCUAAGUCUAGGGUAAUUAAACAUACCCGAGUUCAAGUUCAACCCUAAUCCCCUUCAGUCAAAACUUCCAACUGGCUUGUCCGCAUGUGCCCCAAAUUUCCCUUAUUAUUUUAGAGUAAGACAGGAUAAGGUAUAGAUCAAUUCCGCUGGGCCAGGAAUCAUGCACCAUUGUUACUGCCUUCCAGCAAUAAAGUGCGUGGCAUAUGCUACCAUUUCCUCGGAACCUUCAUCAUGUUCCCUCCCCCAAAUAAAUAUUACAUAGGAUUUAGGACUCUUUCUACUGUCUCUUUGGGAGGCUCAUUAAAAUAGUAGUAAUUGCUACCACAAUUUACUAGACGCACGGGAGUACCAAUUGAAUAAAAACAGAGAAUCAACUCUCACUACUAUUUUUAAAGACUUUAGUGUCCACAAUUUGCAUAAUUCUCUAAAUUUCUUCUCUUCAUUUAGUUUACUGAUACUAAGUCUUUGCAUUCAAAAACAGUUAUCAAAAUUUAUCGAUUUUUUAAUGGAUUUGAACAGUGCGUUACAAGAUAGUCAUGAAUUAAUAUUAAUAUUAAUAGCUUAAGAUGCGAAUUAGGAGAGAGUUAGGUUGGGUGUUAAGACGAGGAGGAUUGUAAGUAGGAAAUUCUGAAUUUAAAACCUUCCACAUAUCAAAAAAUAAUUAAAAAAAAAAGAUCUUAGGGUGCAAUUUGAUAAUCUAUAAUAGUUCAAGGGUGCAAAUUUGCAAUUACCCGAAAAUACUGCAUCUCACCAGCCAAGCGGCUGAGCCUAUAAUGUUCAAGAAGAAAAAACUUUACUAUAGCAACUGAUUAGAGUGAUAAGAGAAAAUAAAAAAUGAUUAGACCGAUAGAGAGAGAGAGAGAAUGAAAAUAGUUAACAAAGAGGGAGAUAAGAGUUAUAUAUAGUGUUUGAAAUCUGGUCAAACAUGUCAGUUUGGCGGGUUGAACCAGAGUCCCACCUGAAUACUGGUUUGAUUGUAUAUUAACCUUAGAACAAAAAAAGCAAUUAAAUCCAGUCAAAGACCGGUUAAUCUAGUCAAAACUGGUAAAUUCCAAAAGAUUGAACCGUUUGGCCACUAAAUUUUCUCUCUUUUUGACAAUUUUGCACUAAUCAGAUUUUGACAAUUUUCUCUCUUUUUUUUUAAUUCAAAAAAAAGAAAAGGUUGUUCCAUGACCCUAACCAUUGAACUAGUUAAACCAUAACCUAAAAGCUUAUUCAAUUCACUUUAGGAUUUAGGACUCUUUCUACUACUAUCUCUUUAGGAGACGCAUUAAAAUAGUAGUUGCUAGCACAAUUUACUAGACGUAUGGAAGUACUAAAAAUAGAGAAUCAAUUCUCACUGUUUUUCAAAGACUUUAGUGUCCCCAAUUUGCAUAAUUUUCUAAAAUUCUUUUCUUCAUUUACUGAUUCUAAAAUCUUUUUACUCAAAGAUACUAUCAAAAUUUGUCGAUUUUUUAAUUGAUUUGAACAGUGAGUUACUAAUUGAUGGCAUGAUUUAGCAAGGUUUCACAUUUCCUCUAUAAUUUCAAAAGUUAUAUAUAACCCCUUCAUAAUUUGGAUUAAAGUGUCAAAGUGAUGUAAAUGAUUAUUUGUAACAGAACUCAUAAAAAUGUCGAAAUUACCCUUCUUAAAAAACUAAAAUAACUAAAAUGAUCAAAAUAUAUACAUAUAAUAUGCAUAACACUCUAACCCCGUAUGGUUUUAUGUUUUACUCCCUCCAUCCCACUUUGAUAGUUCUAGUUCUUUUUUCACACAGUUUAAGAAAAAGUAGUUAACUUUGUUGGAACAAUCAAUUUAGGUAGCUAUUUUCCUAAAAUGCCCUCACAUUAAUUAGAGUACAACUUUAUGGGAACUUGAAUUGAUGGUAAAAAAAGAGUCAACUCUCAUUAAAUGGGGUAGGUUUAUAGUAACAACAACUUACAUUGAAUAAGGGUAUUUUAGGAAAAUUAAAAUACAACUACAUUUUUCAAUUGGAAAGUAGACUACAAUUUGGGACAGACGAAAAAGGAAAACAGGACUAUCAAAGUGGGACGGAGGGAGUACCAUAUAACUCCCUUAUAAUUUUCAAAAUAUAUACAUAAUCUCCCGUGGUUAAUAAAUAAUUUUCAACUUUAUAUAGAGGUACUUUUGACAUUUUAGUUGCUUCCGUUAUGAAAUGCAAAUUUCAUCAUUUUGAUAUUUUAAUUCAAACUAUAAAGAGAUUAUAUAUACCUUUUGAAACUAUAUGGGAGUAAUGUGAAAAUCACUAAAUCAUAUGGGGAUAAAGUGUAUUUUGCCUUAAUAUUAAUGGCUUAGAGGAGCGAAUUGAUAAUCUAUAAUAGUUCAAGGGCGCAAAAUUUCAAUUACCCUAAAAUAUUACAUCUCACCAGCCAAGCUGCUGAGCCUGUAAGGCUCAAGAAGAAAAAACUUUAGCAUAGCAACUGAUUAGAGUGACAGAGAGGGAGAAAAUAAAAUAGGUGACAAAAAGAGAGAUAAGAGUUAUACACAAUGUUUUCAGAACCGGACCGGACCGGCCGGUUCGACCGCGAACCAGCCAUGGCACACGGUCCGGUCCAGUAUCAAACCCGGAAGCUAGUGGAAAACCGCUGGAAACCGUGUGAACCGUAAACCGCGAUUCUCAAAUUUUGAAACAAUAACCUCAAAUUCAAAACAAUGACAAGAAUAAGACUGCUGGGAUUCGAACUCUAGUCUCCAUGACCAUAAUAAGGUACGCUUACCACUAAACUACAACCGAAUGACAAGCUUUUGUUGUGUAGAAUUUUACUUAACUUAACCAAAAAACUAAAAUCAGAUUAAAUAAAAAAAACCCUAAAAGACCUAGUAAAGUGCAGACUGCACAUCAUUUCAGUUUCCUCGGCUUCACUUCCUCCAUUCCUUGGCUUCUCCAGACUCCAAUUCUCCUCUUGAUUUUUUUUUUUUAAUUUUUCUUCGUAAUCCUUCCACAUCCUAAUAUCCACGACAAGAUUAUCACGCUAUUAUCUUUAGACGAGACUCCAGAGCUUUUUUUUUAGCUUCACCAAUUAGAUUUAUAUUUUUUGUAAUAAGCUUUUUAAUUUUUUGGGUAAAAUACACGGAACCCCCCUAUGGUUUCGCGAAAAGACACAUUACCCCCCUAUCGUUUAGAAACAUACACAUAAACACCCUAAACUUCAUAACUAAAGUGGAAAUAGACCUAUAACCGGCUGAACGACCUACUGAUGAUGGGUAUGCGAGAUUCUUUUGAAAAGAUCUUGAGUUUCAUUCCCAAGUUACCCUUCAGUUGCUAUAUUGAAGUGACAUAUCAGGGGAGAAGAGAUUUCAAGCUAUCAAAGAGUGAAAGGAAAAAGGGAGAAGAUCUACGGAGAAGUUUUCACCUUUCGGACCUAAAUAAUAAGCCCUCAUCGCUAAAAGGUUUGGAUGCCUGAUCUUCCCCAGUAUAUUAACCUCAGUUUCAAAUUCCCUUUGUCCUUUUGUAAUCUUCUCUCUAAAUCUCUUCACUGCAGCAACACUGCCAUCCUCCAAUGUUGCCUUAUAUACUGUUCCAUAAGUGCUCUUACCCAUGAUCUCUGUUGUGGCACACAACAGAUCGUCUGCUGUAAAAACCAUGGGUCCAUCAAAGUGGACAAUCUUUCCUCCUGCUUCUCCAGCUGCUUCAACUUCACCUGCAGUUGGAGGAGUGCCUUUUUCUCCGGAGAUGAGGAGAGCCCCAGCUGCGAUGAGAAUAAUGUCUUUAGUGCUCAGUCUAUGAUGUUUCUUUGCUGGAGAUUCUGGUGGAGUUGAUGGGCCCGGAGAGGGUGGUAUUGGACAUUGGGUUAAUGCACUGUAUCCGCAUAGCUCAAGAUUGCCCACGAAGGCGCUUGCAUUGAACUUUUGAGCAAGCUUAGUUGGAACAGGACCGGACAGAUUGUUGUAAGACACAUUAAAGGAACUAAGAUUAGGUAAAUCACCUAUAGAUGCUGGAAUCUCUCCACUAAACUUGUUUUGAGAUAAAUCAACUUGUGUCAGGAAAGAAAUGUUCCCAACUGUUGCUGGAAUAGGACCAGCAAAUUGGUUAUUUCUCAAGUUGAGAACAGAUAGUUUCUGUAGUUUGUUUACAGCUGCAGGAAUUUGGUGGUCAAGAUGGUAGCUUUCCAAGUUCAAAACUACAAGGUUUGAUAAAUUGGAAAGAGCGGCAGGUAAGCUCCCAUUGAGUGCAUUAUAUGAGAAAUCAAGUGUUCUAAGCCUAGAUAGUCUUCCAAUUUCAUUGGGUAUCAAUCCAGCCAUGUUGUUAUGACUGAGUGAAAUCUCUUGGAGCUCACUUAAGUUGCCAAGAGAAGCUGGAAUUGUCCCAGAAAAUGAAUUGUGACCAAGUGUUAGGGACUGAAGUUGAUAGAGGGCCUUCACAUUUCCACCCCAAGAGUCAGGAAUGGAACCAGAGAGAUUGUUGUGCUCUAGAGCAAGAAAAAUCAGCGAUUGCGAUUGAGUAAGGCUGGUGGGAAUUGAACCAGACAAAGAGUUGUAGCUAAAAUUAAGCCUAAAGAGCCUGGUUGAAUUGGCAAGAGUAGCUGGAAUAGUUCCAGAGAGGGAGUUGUUACAGAAAUCUAGUGAUUGAAGAAGGGGACUCAAACCAAGUGUAGGUGGGAUUGAACCAGAAAAUCGAUUAUUGAAUAAUUGAACACCUCUGAGGUUAGGCAAAAGCCCCAACGAGGAAGGAAUUGCACCACCAAUUGCAUUAUCGUGGAGGCUAAGCUUUCUGAGAGCUUGCAGCUGCCCAAUUUUUUCAGUUACUCGACCACCUAGACCUUUCCAGGGAAGCUGGAUUACAAUUACUAGUCGCCGAGCACAUUUAAUCCCGGCCAAGCCACCCGAACAAGCUCCAAUACCACUGUUGUUCCAGCUUCUCAGGAACCCUUUAGGAUCAACCAAUUCAUGUCCGAAAGGCAGCCACGCUGUUUUCAACUCAGAUUCAUGAUAUUUCAGCAACAAUUGAGUAUACAAAUCCCUUGUUUUAGGGUUUUUUUUUCUUACACAGGAUGAACGAGAGAGAGUCAGUUCUUGAUUCUCUCUCCCUCUCUAUUAUAAAUGAGGGUAUUUUGGGUAUUCGACCUGCAGCUGGUAACUCAGCCGGUUAAGAAGUCAAUUUCCACUUUAGUUAUGAAGUUUAGGGUGUUUAUGUGUAUGUUUCUAAACGAUAGGGGGGUAAUGUGUCUUUUCGCGAAACCAUAGGGGAGUUCCGUGUAUUUUACCCUAAUUUUUUCAGGUUAAAUUGAUGAAAUUGUGAAGGGGAUGCUGUUGCCUUGUCAUGCCAAUGAUGGAAGUUUGUUAUUCAAAUUGUUUGCCUUGAAUAUGAGUUGAACUUUUUUAUGAACUUUUUUAGAAUUGUGAAAGAAUGUUAACAUUUAUUUUAUUUAUUUUUGUAUUUUUGUUUGUGAUAAUUGAUGAACAUUUGGACUAUAUCUAUUAAUGUUUGUAAUAAAUUUAUGAAAACUUGGAGUGAAUUAUGAUAUUUUAGUUAUAUUUAUUAUUUCAGGUUUCAUGUAUAACUUUUAAAAAAUUUAUUAUUCUGACAGGGUGUCGAAGCCUGUGCAAUAAUAAAACCUGCUCAAACUAAAAUUAAUUUCUGUAGAUAGCGGUAAGCAGGGUCGAAUCCACAGGGACUGGGAGUAAUUGUUUCUUUUUAAAUUCACAGUGACAAAGGGGGAUGUUUUUAUCUCAGGGGUGACAAUUUAAGCAAUUCAACUAAAAUCUAAGAAACUACUAAAAAUUAAAUAACCAAUUACUAAAAUCAAAUGAGUGAUAAUUAAGGAUCUAGCCAAGGAAUAACUUCAGCAAUGGUUCACCUAAUUGAUCAUCGAUAAGCAAAGGCAAUUCCAAUUAUUUACUGAUAAAUAGGUUAUAACUGCCAAACAAGCGAUGACAGUCAACCCCUCCUUACUGUGUCGGUGAUCAAGGUACGCCCGUUAAUCACUGCUCUAAUUAAGAAAUAAUCCUAGGUACGCCCGUAAGAUUUAAUUUUCCAAUUGCCUUACGUAUUAGAGGAGCCCUAUUCUAACCAAAUAACGCACUACCAGGGUUAUUUUAGAUUAGCCCUAUUCUAACCAAAUAACGCACUACCAGGGUUAUUUUAGAUUAGCCCGCGUAUCCCCCCUGACACGAACCUAAUCGUGCCAGUUGUCACUAUCUCAGGACAAUUAAACAAUUACGGAUUUAACGUCCCAAUUGACAAUAAAUUAUCGAAUUAACUAAUUAUCUGGAUCCAAGACAAUCAAUUAAUUAAACAAUCAUGAGCACUGUAACUAAGGAAUAUGCGAAUAUCAAUAAAUAAAGGAAAAAAAUUAAAUUAAAUCGAUCUCACGAUUUUCAGACAAUCCAGAGCCUUCAUUGCUCCUUGACUAGAAUUGGAAAAUUAGUUCAUAAUUGCUGAACUAAACCCACCAGAAAUUGUAGCAAAGGCUGCGGCCAUCAAUUGGGAAGCUGGGUGAAUUCAAUUCGUCUAUUCAAUAAAGAAAGGAAGCUACGAGAGUCCACUGAGUGUGUUCGCUUUUGUCCGACAUUCGGAGAAGAGAAAUUGAAUAGGCAGAAUCAAAGACAAAAGCUAAGCUCCUCAGCAAUCUUCAUACGUAAGAAAAAAAAACUAGCUAACAAAAACUAAGAAGAAAAGUCAACAACUGCGGCUAAGCUACAAGACGAAAAGACUAAGACUAAAGCCAGCUCUCCUCUGCAAUUCCUAUAUUUCCUAUCUAAGUGCUUACUCCUCCUGUGCGGCGUCCGCCGCACGAGAGAAAAAGAAGACUCUGAGGUUUGCUUUCUUUUCCCUUUUUGUGGUUGCUAUCUUCGGUCAAAAUUACCAAAAAAGGUCAUGCAUCUCCUUGUUCCAAGAAUGCCCUUGAUUGCCUGCUAUUUGAACUCUUUCCCGAUGACCGUCAAAUUGGCUUUGAUUGUGACAUUUUUAUUCUACUCCCUGAAAUAAAUGCAAAUUAUGAAAAGUGAGUAGAAUCUAAUAAUUAAUUCACAUUGGGUUAAGUAAUAGGGGAAAUUAAUUAUAAAAUAAAUGAUAAAAUUACAACCUAUCAUAUUCUCUCAACUUAAAUUUAGAUUUAACUUUUAAGUUAUAUUGGUGAAUGUAUUUUAGGGACUUAAGUUAUUAAUAACCAUGUUAGAUUGUACAUUAGCCGUCAAGUUCUAGUGUAGACUAUAGAGUGAAGACCUGUGAAGUAAAAAAAAAAAAAAAAAAACUGUUGAACCGUUGAACCGGCCGGUCGGACUGUGAACCGCCCCCUCUCCGAUUCACUGGCCGGUCCGAGUUUAAAAACAUUGGUUAUACAUGGUGUUUAGAAACCCAGUCGAACCUGUCGGUUUGGUAGGUUGAACCAGGGCCCGACCAUGAUACUGGUUUGAUUGUAUAUUAAACUUACGGAAAAAAAAAAUCAAAUACAGUCAAAGACCGGCUAAUCUAGUCAAAACUAGUAAAUCUCAAAAGAUUGAACAGGUUGGCCACUACAUUUUCCCUCUUUUUUGACAAUUUAGCACUAUUAAGAUUUCUUAAUUCAAAAAAAAAAUAUUAAAAAAUUAUUCCUUGACCCUGACUAUUGUACUAUAGUUAAACCAUGACCUAAAAGCUUAUUUAAUUCACUUACCAAUCCAGGUUUAGAAACAUUGGUUAGCCAUAGCCAAAUUGUUAAAGCAGUACAGUUCAUGCUUCAACAGUUUUCUACUGCAAUUGAUUAGAGUGAACAAAAGGGAGAGAAGAGUUAGAGAUGGCUACGCUUUCCAAGUCUUCCAAUUAUUGUGCCGAAACACUGAGUUUCUUGAAGUGGUUUGAGACCCAUUGGAAAUUAGACAUUUCAGUGAAGGAUAAAUUCCAAACUCUCAGACUCAAGAUGAUCCUGCUUGAAGCCUUCUUCAGCCCCAAAAGGAAGUGGCACACUGAUGACAAGAAUUUGCAAGUCCACCUUUGGCAUAUAAAUCAGGUGCUUUAUCAUGCUACUAAAAACUUCAUUCUGUCAAAAGGGAAAUGUUGGACCCUCCAAGAGAAGUUGUGUGGUAUCAUUUCUGGUGUCAUAAAGAAGCUUGAUAUGGCUAUUCCGCACAUCAGGCAAAUUUGUGCACUAGUUUCAAAAUCAAGAAGAUCCACUUGUUCCACAGCAAAUGCAAUGAUUGAGCUUAUUCAUAUGCUUCUGGAGAAAAUGGAAAAUCUACUCAGCUGGAAGGUUCAGUCAUUUCUUCGUCUAAGUAAACAAAUGGAAGAGCUUGAAGAGGAUUUGAGGUAUCUAAGAAAUUUUCUUCGGGUUACAGAAAUUUGGUGCAAUAAAGAUGAGAUAUUGAAAGAUCUCUUGACACAUGCUGGAGCUGUGGCUUACAGUACAGCAUGUAUCUUGUUCUUGUGUACUGAAGAGAGCAAGAUGGAUGUUGACAUUGUGAACGAGAUGAAGGGUGAAGUUUCUUGUGUGGUACAGAAGAUUAAACCUUUUCAGCCAAAUGUGAGAGAGAUUUAUAUCAAAGCCCUGAAAGCAUUAGAGUCAUCGCUACAAGAUACCAUUUUGGUGGAUGAAACUGUUCUGCACUUUCUCUAUAGUCUCCUUGGCCACGUGAUAGAUCUAUCAAAAGUGAAGGCAAGUUUCAGGAGAUCUGUAAUAGAUCAAAUUGAAGCUUUGCAUAAGGAGCUACAGAUCAUGAGAGAUUAUCUGUUCGAUCCAUCAGCUUCGCAGUACAAUCAGAGCAAUGAGAAAGCUAAUAAUGUACUGUUGCACAUCAAAGAUUUGCUCUUUCACGCAGCAUAUGCUAUUUAUACGCCUUAUGACACUGAUAUAAGUAAAGAAAUGGCUGAGGUACUGAAUCUGACGGUUGCUGAUUUGUUUCAAGAGAUCGAGGAUAUCAAGCAAGAGGCCAGGGAUGUAUACGAUGAAAUAAUUGCCAAAUCACUAAGGUCAAAUUUCCCCAGAACCAAUGAACUGGGCUUCAUGGACUUUGUGAUCCAGAAUCUGCAUGAGCUGCUAAGUUCAAAAGCUGGUUCAUCAGUUCUUCAGCUGCAGCAUCAAAUGGAGACGGUUCUUGGAAGUAUAUUAUCCCUCAGAGAAGAUGUUUUUGAAAUUAAAGCAUUGUUUGCAGAGCAGAAAGAAGAGAGAGACCUAUGGCUGCAGUUCAUAAACAUUGUAUACCAUACCGAAUUUGUCAUUGAUUCAUUUACUGCCAGAAGUGGAUAUCUUUGGGAUUGGAAAUUGGGGCUGUUUGAUAUCAUGGAACAGAUUCAUAUGAUCAGGAGUGAGGUCAAUGCUAUUAAAAUUACGAGGACAACUGACACUACAGUCCUCAAAAAUCUUGGUUGUGUAUCUUCUCUGGAAAAUUCAGGAAAUUCUGGUGCACUGCAGGAUCCCAGCUAUGAGGUUGGAAAUGAAACAAAGAAGCCCAUUGGUCACGUGGACCUUUUUGUUGAUGCAGAGAAAAAGAUAAGAGAGCAACUUACUAGUAAGUGCAAAGACUUGUGUAUACUCUCCAUUGUGGGAAUGCCUGGCAUUGGCAAGACAACACUAGGCAAUUCAAUAUAUGAAAAUCGUUUCGUUCGUUUAUGCUUUCAUGCUCGUGCAAGGUGCCACGUUGGUCAUGCGUGUCAAAAGAGAAGAUUGUUGCUUGAUAUUCUACAGCAAGUUUGUGGGGAAACUGACCAAGUAUGUGGAAGGAAUGAUGAUGAUUUAGCUGAAAAGUUGUAUCAAAGUCUCAAGGGCAAAAAGUACUUCAUCUUCUUGGAUGAUCUGUGGGAUCUUAGGCCAUGGAAUGAUAUGAGAGCCUGUUUCCCAGAUGAUAAGAAAGGUAGUAGAAUUAUGUUCACAAGCAGAUUUCAGAAUAUUGCUCUGGAAACAGGAAUGAAUACCGUGACUUAUCCUCUUACUCCAAUAUCAGAUUCUAGGACCUGGGAGUUACUGCAAAUCAAGCUAUUUGGAAAAGAAAGUUGCCCUCCAGAACUUGUCAAAGUUGGACAGAAAAUUGCAGCAGAAUGCAAAGGCCUAACUCUUGCAGCAGAUCUGAUAGCUGGAUUACUGAGAACGAUGGCAAGCAAAAAUGAAUGCUGGGCACAAGUUGCAAAUAGUCUAAAUACACACCUUCUUGAAGAUCAAGACGGACGGUGUAUGCACAUACUGGAACUUAGUUACAACCAGUUACCAGACCAUUUGAAACCGAGCUUUCUUUACUUCGGAGCAUUUCCUGGGAACAGAGAAGUUCCAACCAGUAAGCUGAUGUGGUUAUGGAUUGCAGAAGGAUUUGUUAAACUGCAAAAUGGUGAUGAAGGAAGCCCAGAGGAUGUAGCUAGGAGUUACUUGAAUGAUCUAAUUGCCAGAAGCCUAGUAAUAGAUUCCAAAAGGGGAUCCUCCAAUGGAGUGAAAGCAAGCUGUGUUCAUGAUCUAAUGCAUGAUUUUGCUCUGGCAAAAGCUAAAGAAGAGUGUUUUUUCCAGCAGCAAACAUGUGCUCAUUCCAGACAUGUGUCUUCUCAUGUCCAGACAUUGUAUGAGCCAUACCGUCUGUGCAUCUAUUCAGAAUGGGAAUGCUUCAAAGCAUCAAUGCCUUUCGGCCCACGCCUCCGCUCUCUAUUGUCUUCUGAUUUCUCAUGUUCUUGCCCCUUUGAGAACUUCAAACUUCUCAGGGUGCUCGAUCUUUCAGGCACCAUUGUCGACCUUACUCCUUGCAUAUUCCAGUUGGUUCAUUUAAGAUUCUUAUCUGUUUGCACUUCCUCAACAAGGAUCCCCUGGGAAAUCAGCUACCUCCAAAACCUGGAAACUUUACUACUAAGAUCACGCAAGGGUAUUCAAUUGCCCGACACUGUUUGGAAAUUGGUGAGAUUGAGGCAUUUCAGAAUAGAUUGGCAUUGCUUUUUGCCACGGUAUAAUCAAGAAUUCAUGGAGAAAACCUUCAAGUUCAAUAGCUUACAAACUCUUUCAACACCAUGUUUAUUUUUCCAUGAAGAUCUUGAGAAGACCAUGAGAGGCCUACCCAACCUUCGAAAGCUGAGUUGCAUAUUUUUAGAUUCAUGGGAUCAUUCUUUCAAUUGCAAUCGGUUUCCAGUUCUGGACUUUCUCACUCAACUUGAAUCACUCCAUGUGGUUUACGGUGGUCAGGUGGUUCGUCAUCCUUGUGAAUUCAACUUUCCCCACAAUCUUAAGAAGUUGAAGUUAUCAAAGUUUCGUUUGCCAUGGAGUGCAGUAUCAGCCAUUGGGAAACUGCCUAAUCUGGAAGUUCUCAAACUGUUGCAUGCCUCCUUUGAGGGUAAAACAUGGGACAUGAAAGAAGGAGAAUUUCUUAAACUCAAGUUCUUGAAGUUGGAGUCGUUGGACAUUGCACAUUGGAAUGCCUCAGAGGAUCACCUCCCUUGCCUUGAGACACUUGUGGUGAAGAAAUGUUAUGCACUUAUAGAGAUCCCUCUUUGUUUGGGGGAUAUACCCACACUACAGAGGAUUGAGUUGCAAAAUUGCACCCGCUCUGCUUGGAUUUCAGCCCGUACAGUGAAAGAAAAACAGAAGGAAAUGGGAAAUGACCAGUUUGAGUUCACUUUUAAGUUUGAGGGAUCGUGGAGGGUUCCCUAUGAAGUCUAGUAUACAAUCGUCAUUUACAUUAAUCUGCUUGAUGAUGUACAUUGCAGAGAUAAACUCUACUGAUCCUAAUGAAUUCUUCCUUCUAAAAGGUGUUCCAUUUUAUUUUAUUUUAUUUUAUUAUGCAUUUUCUUCUUCAACAAUACUCCACAACAGAGAGUAUAUAUGUAUCAGCUUCUUCCAAAUACUGAAGAUUAUAUGUAUUAGCUUUGUUUAUUAUUAAUGCCAUGUUUCACCUUUUUCAUUUUUCCAAAAUUGGGGCCACAUAACUUUUUAUUAUUUUGAACUUCCGAACAUGGCCUUAUAAAGUUUUAAACAAUAGGUUAAAUCAUUCACGUGGGAUCAUAAAAUAAAUUCUGAUUUGAAAAGAAAUUUAGAAGCACAAGUAACAACAUCAUGACUGCAUGGCUUUCGUUUGUGCGUGUUAUUUAGAGUUACAAACGAGUCGAAUCGAAUCGAAUUUUGAUCUAAUUGAGUCGAAUUUCAACUUAGUUUUACUAAGUUCAAACUUGACGAGUUCUCAAAGUAAAGUUCGAACUUGAGCUCGACUUCAAAUUUGAAUCGAGUUGAAUUCGAGCUCGAUGUUUAAAAAAAUUAAUUUUUUUAUUUUUAAAAAAUGAAUAAAAUAGUAAUUUUUCUUAACAAAUAAUAAAAUAUUAUGAAUAUAUACAUAAUUUCACUAUUAAAAUAAAAAAUUAUAGAUAUAAUCAAACUGAUUCACAAGAUGACGAACUAAGUAUCUUUGAACUCGAUCUCAAACUGCUCGCGAUCGACGUGCCAGCACCUCUACUCGUAUGCAGCCUAGUGUUAUCCACUCCUCCAAUGAGUCUGUUAUGCAAAGAUGGGAACUGGACGUUCAAAAAUCACAACGCGGCACUGCUAAUAAAAGGUAUGAAAAUCAAAAUGCGUCUCUAAUUCUGAGAGUGAUCAACUUAUGGGCAAGAUAGGGAAAAGAAAAAAAGUGUACAAGUAACAGAGAGGAGCACUCCUUGAAAAAAAAAUUGAAAAUUGAGAGUAAUCCGUAACACAUUGGACUCUACUACUAUCUCAUACACCUUUUUUGGACUUGAACUAAAGCCUCAAAUUUUGGUAACUUACACCACCAGACUAAAUUCUCAUUACCCCUUAAUUUUCAGGCUAUCUUUAAAUUUAGGAAAUAUCCAGUAUAUGAUUCUUCUCAUUGCUCAUAUUAUUGAAGUUAGAAUGGUUGAGCAUUGCAAAUUGGAAUGCAUAGAGGAUCACCUCCCUUGCCUUGACACACUAGUGGUGAAGUAUUGCUACUGACUUGUGGAGUUCCGUCCUAGUUCUUGGGGACACAUCCAUACUGCAGAGGAUUGAGUUGCAAAACUGCACUUCCGCUGCCAGGAUUUCAGCCCAGACAAUGAAGGAAGAACAGGAGGAAUUGGGAAAUGAUCAGAUUGUGGUCAUCCUUAAAGAAAAACUCCCACGUUAAUUCGGGUUUUUGAAUGUCUUUAUAUUUGAAAAUUUGCUACCGGGAAAAACCCAGAAACUGUUGAAAACAGAAAACAUACGACAGAAUAUGGAACAUUGAGGCAGAGCAUCAAUUCACCUUCCCAAACUUCUUUUUUUAGAUAAAAUAGAAUAGUACUAUAUUUUAUGUAGGCAGAUAAACCCAAGUGGUAACUUUGUACUUUCAAGCAGCUAACACUAAACUAGCAAAACUACCCCAAAAUCAUAACUUUUCAAAAACCCAUUAAAGAACUUAGCAAUUCUGAGGUAAAAGAACUUUGAUAGAUAGCUCAUUAAUACGUAUCCUCUUCUCUCUUUUUGUUCUUGGGGCAGGAAAAAUUACAUGAUGAACUGAAGUCUAUUGAUUCUUUGAAUAAAUUCAGCAUUAAACCGGUACAAAUGCAACCAGACGCACAGAAGUUUAAAAUUGUGGAAAAAGAUUACAAUCUUUUAUUCAUUGAUAGAAAACUGAAAGCAAAGAUGCAGUCUGUUUUUCUCUGAUGACAAAAUAAGAGAUCAUCAACAGGCGGGUAUGUGUAUUUAUUUAGUGCAUGCAUGAAUAUAAAAAGAAACAGCAAUUUUUUUUUAUCAAUCGUCAACUCCUAUACUACUCUUACUUUAAGCUAUCUAAGGAAGGACUCAACUAGGCCAAAAUGCUAGAAAUAGUAGUUCCCACCUCUAAAUCAAAGGGAUGCACUACUACACAUUUUUAAGCCUCCAUUUGGAUUACCUUUUUGGGAUAUUUUUCAAAAAUUUUACUAUAACUGUAUAUAUGAGAUACUGUAAAUGUUUUUGGGAGUAUUUUCGAAGUAUUUUAAGGGAGGUUUUCUGAAUGAAUUUUGGGGUAUCUUUGGAAUUUAUGAAUUUUUUGGGGUAUUUUUAACAAGUUUACACCACCCACCGAUUACAUCCCUUCCCUCUUUCUCCCUCCUCCCUCCUCUCUCUCUCCCUCUCUCCCUCUACCGCUACCAUCCUUUCCCUUUUUUCCCUCCUCUCUUCUCUCUCUCCCUCUUUCUCCUUCUCUCUCUCGACUCUUCCUCCUCCUCUCUUCUUUUCCUUUCUCUCUCAUCCUUCCUCUCUCUCUCCUUCCUUUUCUCCCUUCUCCCUCCACCCCCUUCCCAAUCCUAACCCCCAGACCCCCUCCUUCCAUCUCAGAUUUGGUUGUGACUAGCAUUGGUCGCAAUCAUGAUCAAAUAAGAUCCGGUUGCAGCCUAUCUGGUCGUGACCAGCAAAGAUAGGGGGGGAUUUAGGAGGUGGUGGAAUGGGGGAAAAAGGGUGACAGGGGAGGGGAAGGAGAGGGAGAAGGAGGGCGGAAGGAGAAAGAGAGAAGGAGUGGAGAGAAGGAAGGGAAAGGUGGUGGUAGUGGUAGUGGAGGGUGGUGGGUGGUAGUGGUGAAAUGUGGGAUUUUUUUAAGUGUUAUUUUUGGAAUUGUUUUGAAGUUGUUUUUGGAAUUUACUGUAGUUUUGAAAGACAAAAACAGUUGUUUAAAAACUAGUUAAAUCCAUUAGAUUUUACAACAAAUUUUUUGAGUUCUUAAAAGUUAUAUACUAUGUUGAAAGUCAUCACUUACUUUAAUGCCAAGGCCCACCAUUGAGCAUAUAUAUUUACCACAAGCAAACUACAAUAGUAUAGUAAUUGUCUGACAUGGACGGAUGAACAAUUGUAAAAGUCCAUUUUUAUAGCGUGAACGUGGGAAACUUUUACUAUUGUGUCAUGCCCAAAUUGAGAAGCUAGCCUAGUUGUGAUGUUCAGCAGAUUUUUAGGGAGCUACGCAUCAAUGAGAAGCGGAAAAUUGAAGCUGCAUAUCGGGCUUUACUAGUUUAAAUAGGGAUUUAUUUCUUCAAUUGAAUGCAUCAGAAUUCAAGAGAAAGAAAGUAAAAUAAACGAUCUCAAUUAUUAAGUGAGUGUUUGAACAGAUUUCUCAAGAGUGAGACUCUGAUAAAAUUAGAACAAAUGUAACUAUUCUGGACUUACUCUUGAUAAAAUCUUUAUUUUGCAAGUACACCCCAUUGGGUCGAUAUGAGACAAGAUUCUCCAAAAGCACAGUGCAAAACUAUGAAAUUUUUUGAUACCACACAAGUCACAAAAAUUAACUAUUGCAGAGUUUGCUAUCUCAAUUGGAAAUACUGAUAAAUUAAGUAUUAAUUCCAACAACUAAGGAUCCUGGAGUACUCGUAUGAAGUUCUACUUGCUUGAAUAUGAUUUGUGGGUCGUUGUUGGUAGAGAUGACAUAACACCGCCAACAGAGGCAGAUCGGCUUAAAAAGUGGAAAGUUAAAGUUGGCAAAACUGUGUAUGCUUUGACAAUAGUUGUGGAAAAUGAUUUACUACACCGGAUCAAAGAUGCUAAGACAUCAAAGGAGGCAUAGGACACACUCACGACACUUUUUACAAAGACCAAUGAUGUGAAACUUCAAAAGUUUGAAAAUGAAUUACUGUUUAUUUCUCAACAAAAUAUGAUACUUCCUCCGUCCCAUUUUAUUUGUCAUGGUCAAAUUUAGACAUAGUUUAAGGAAAAGUGCAGUUGACCAAAUCUUAUGAGCUGGAAAAAAAUUUCUUUCCCAAAUUAUCCCUCAAUUAAUAGUGGGUUCAGAAUGUUAAAAGACACAUCUACCUAUGUUACAUUAAUACACCAAGUUUAAAUUUUAAUGAACACUUAAAAAUGAAAUUUUAAAAUUGGCGGGAUUGAAGGAAAAUUUUGGUAACAAAAUAAUUAUGGGAAAUCAAAAUCUUGAGAUUGGCGGGAUUGAUGGAAAAUUUUGGUGCCAAAACAAUUACAGGAAAUCAAAAUCUUGACAUUAGCACUUUUAAACUUACGGUAAAAAUAGGAAAGCCAUAGAGAAGAAAACUAGAAUUCUCAUCAACUAACUUCAUAAAAUCACUCCACUAAAAUUUUCUUUCCUAUCUACAACGCUUUCAAAAUAAACUGAUCCUUGAUUAUUUCCUUAAUCAUCUCCUACUUUUUCUCUCCUUAAUCAACAUGGAUUCUAACAACCCUAUUAUAAAUCCAAAUCAAUGUGUGUCAAGAACUCGAUUACCAUAUGAACAGAGAGCUAUUUUUUAGACUCUAUUAAAGUACAGUCAAGAUGAAAAAUUGAAAAAAGACACAUUUAAGGAUGUUGUAAGCUCUUUCUCGGCAUCAAUACGAGCCACAAUGUGAAUUUGGAAACAAGCUCAAGAAUCACUUGCAACUACCAAUAGAGUCGAUCUUUCUUACAAACUUUUGGGUAAAGUUGGCAGAAAACGUGUUGUAAUCAACUCUACUUGUGUUCGUGAAAUUUCAUUACAUCGUCAAACCAACAUCCAGUCCAUGGCCAAAGUUUUGAAUAUUCCUAAAUCAACACUUCAUCGGCGAAUAAAGGAAGGAGUGAUCAAACCUUACACUAAUGCUGUUAAACCUCAUCUUAUAGUUGAUAACAAAAAAGAGAGGUUGAGAUUUUGUCUUUCGAUGAUCGAGACAAGUACACUAUACACCAACCUAUUAUUUCAAGAUAUGUUUAAUUUUGUUCAUAUAGAUGAAAAAUGAUUUUAUCUAUCUAAAACUUCUGAGCAUUAUUAUCUUCUUCCUGAUGAACCCGAGCUGUUGCAAAUGUGUAAAACAAGAGAUUUAUCACUAAGGUGAUGUUUUUGACUGCUAUUGCACGACCCCGAUAUGAUGCAACUACUGAGUCAGAAUUUUUCGGAAAGAUUCGAAUUUUUCCUUUGAUAUACAAAGAACCAACAAAGUGUAAUAGUAAAAUAGAGUUAUUGGGACAUUGGAGAUAAAGCCAAUCAUAUCAGUAACAAAGGAUGUGAUGAGGUCAAUUCUAAUUGAAAGAGUGCUUCCUAAAAUUCAUUCAAAGUGGCCACAUUUUGCUUCUACUACGAUCUAUAUUCAGCAAGACAAUACAAAACCACACAUUGAUGUUGAUGAUGACAAAUUUCUUGCUGCUGCUACAAGAGAUGGUUUUGAUUUUCACUUGUGUUUUCAACCACCAAAUAGUCCAGAUCUUAACAUCUUAGAUCUUGAAUUUUUCAGAGCAAUACAAUCACUUCAAUAUCAAGAAGCACCAAAAGAUAUUGAUGAACUUGUUGCUACUGUAGAAAAAGCUUUUAUGGAACUCUCUAGUGAAAGUUUGAAUAAUGUUUUUCUGUCAUUGCAAUCAUGUAUGGCUGAAGUGAUAAGAGUUCUUGGAGGAAAUAAUUACAAGAUCCAUCAUAUCAGUAAGAGUAGAAUGAUGCAUGAUAGAGCUCUUCCUGUUCAAGUAAGUUGUGAUGUUGAUGUUGUAAGAGAGGCACUUGUUCAUCUCCAAGAAUAAUGUGUUUUUUGAGACUAAUUUCUCCAAGGACGCAAGAAAUAUUUAUGUGAAAUUUGUUCUAGAUCUAUCAUUUCCUUUUUUUUUUCCCCUUGAAACUUUACGACAAGGAAGAAAAAUUCUUUCCUAGUUUGCAAACGUUAGUUUGCAAAUGUAAUUAGGAACUUGUUGACUGUUGAGCAUUUAUUACCUUUAUUACCCAAGUUCCAAUGUUCUAACUUUAAUGUACUAGAAGGGUAAAAUAGGUAAGUUAGUGAUAAUUUAUUUGCCAUUUAAAGUCAUGACAAAUAAUAGAAUCCUUGACAAAUAAAAUGGGACGGAGGGAGUAGUAGGUUAAUAUUUCUUCAAAGUAAUAUCAAUUUGUGAUGAAAUAUCCAGAUUGGAUUCCCAAAAUGCAAUCAUAGAGACCAAAAUGUGGAGAAUUAUUGUACAUGGUCUAAGACCAUUAUACAAGGGUCUUAUUAUUGCCACUCAUGGUUGGGCCAAGAAGUCAACCUUAAAUGAGUUGGAAAGUUUACUUGCCAACGAGAAAACUUUAGAAAGCUAUAUGUCUAAAGUAUCUAUUAAAGAAGAAGAAAAAGCUCUCUUUACGAGAAAAGGAGGAUCUCAGGUUAGAAAUAGGAAACUAGCGAAUAACCAAAAUAACUCAAAUAGCAAGCAGGGCCUAUGGUAGCAGAAGAAGUGGAAAAGAAACAAUUAAGGAGGAACUGGCCAAGGUCAAAGAGCAGAUGACCAAAAUAGAAGGCAUCAAUGGUCUCAAGCCAACUAGAAAUGGCGAACUGAUGAAUGCUACAACUACGAUAGAAAUGGCAUCAUGCAAAAUUUUGUAGAUCCCCACCAAUAGAAGAUAAUGCUGCUACAUCCUCCAAAAAGGUAAAUAAGGAUGAUGAAGAUUGAGAUGUCCAAGUAUCCUUUGCAGUAGAAAAGUUCACAUUUUGUUGCACUACUGAAUUACAAGAAAAGCUCGCUUUUACAAUGGUGAGUACUAUACCUAUCAACCAUAUUGAUGAUUGGAUUAUUGACUCCGGUUGUUCUAACCAUAUGAUUGGAGACAAAGAAAAACUAAAAGAUUUGACAGAGUACAAAGGCAACCGAGUGGUGGUGACAACUUAUAAUUCCAAUUACCAAUUACUUAUAUUAGUAAUACGAUGAUACUACCUUGAUACAACUCUCAGUAAGUAGAGUUGCAGCACAUCUACCACGUACCUAGAAUAGAGAAUAAUUUACUAUUGGCUUCUUAACUAACAGUGUCUGGUAACUACGUGUUGUUUGGACCCGAUGAUGUCAAGGUGUAUUGACAUCUAAAAGUUACAGGUACACCAACGAUGCAAGAAAGACGACUGGAGUUAGUAUAUGUGAUGUUACUUGUUAGUUCAAGAAACCUAUAUUGAUAAGAGGAGAAAGAACGAGACAAUUGAUAUGUGGCAUGCUAGACUGGGGCACAUUAGUUAUCACAAGUUAAAGAUCAUGAUGAUGAAGUUGAUGCUUAGUGGACUUCUUCAACUAGAUAUCCGAGAAGACGUUAUUUUUUGUAGGUUGCUAGGAGGGAAAUGCUCAUCAAGUUCCAUAUGAAGAGUCAAAGUUCAAAGCCAAUGUGCCUCUAGAACUAAGUUAUUCAGAUGUGUUUGGACGAGUAAAGGAACCAUCCAUCAGUGGUAUGAGAUAUAUGAUUACCCUUAUUGAUGAUUUUCUAGAUGUGUUUAGGCUAAUUUUAUGAAGGAAAAGUCAGAAGCUUUAAACAAGUUUAAAGAGUUCAAGGACAAAGUCGAGAAAGAAGUAGGCCGGAAUAUAACAUUCCUACACACAGACAACAAAUCUCAAUGCGCAUUAAAUGAGUUCACCAGAUUCUUGCAGGAGUCCAAGAUAAGACGACAACUGACUUGUCCUAAUAUGUCUCAGCAAAAUGGAGUAGUUGAGUAGAAGAACAGACAUCUUGCAGAGAUCUGCAAGAGCAUGCUACAUUCCAAAAAUGUAUCUCUACGUUUUGAGCCAAGUUCAUAAAGACGGUAGUCCAUGUGACCAACAAACUACCUCAGUCUAAAUUAGGCUUUAUUUCUCCAAUUGAGAAACUAUGGAAUGUUAAACCUAAUGUUACUCACUUUAGCGUAUUUGGUGUGUUUGUUAUGUUUUUGUGCCAGGUCAUCUUCGAACCAAAUUCGAUAAGAAGUCCAUUCAUUAUAUAUUCAUGGGCUAUGAUAAUCAUCGGAAAGGUUGGAAAUGUUAUAAACCCACGACUGGAAAAUGCUAUGUCUCACAAAAUGUAGUAUUCAUUGAGGCAUCAUCUUGGUGGUCACCCUAGGGAAUGUUGUUGCUAGACUUACAAGAGUUAGAAGAGAAGCUACACGAGAGAUCUGCUGAUCAACUUAAAACCAACAAACUAGAAACAGAUCAAGAGAGAGCUGAAGACAUAAUCAAUAUUCGUUCACUUGAGAAGAGCAAAAGUCUUUAGCAAACAAGAGUACAUGAUCUAACCCUAGAAGGUAAAAGCCCAAGCCAGUUCAAGAAGAUUGAAGGCAAUGAUAAUUCUUUUAUACAACUCCAGAGAUCAACUAGACAGAUAAAGCCAAAUCUUAAGUAUGCCAAUGCAGCUUUGACAGAAGAUGACGAAGUAGUUGAACCAUCUACUUACUAUUCAACCAAAAUGAGACUUGGGAUCUUGUUUCAAGACCAAGAGAUGUUAAACCUAUCUCUUGCAAAUGGGUCUAUAAUGUUAAGAUUCAUCCAGUUGGCUCAGUUGAGAGAUACAAAGCACGUCUCAUUGCUCAUGAAUUUUCUCAAAAUAUGGGCAGGAUUAUGAUAAAACAUUUAGUCCAAUGGCAAAGCUGACCACGGUUUGAGUUCUAUCUGCAGUUGUAGCCAACAAGUCAUGGAAGCUUGGAAGAUAGAUGUAAAAAAUGUUUUCUUUCAUGGAGAGCUAGAUCAGGAGAUCUAUAUGGAUCAACCAAAAGGGUAUGAAGACAUGGUCCGACCAAGUUACGUAUGCAAACUGAAGAAAACUUUAUAUAGAUUAAAUCAAGCACCUGGGGUAUGGUAUGGCAAGAUAGUUGAGUUCUUGCUUCAAAGUGGAUAUUUUGUGGCACCUAUAGAUUUCACUUUGUUCGUGAAAGCUAUCAGUGGAAGGUUAGUUAUUAUCCUUGUGUAUGUUGAUCAUCUAAUCAUUACAAGUGAUGAUGAUGAAGAAAUUCAAUGAACUAAAGUAAACUUGUCUGUGCGCUUCCAAACAUUUUCUGGGUCUUGAAGUUGAUAAGACCAAUGAAGGUUUGUUUUUGUGCCAAAAUAAGUAUGCCAAAGAUUUAUUGAAGAAAUUUGGGAUGCUCGAGUAUAAACCAAUCUCAACUGCAAUGCAGAUCAAUGCCAGAUAUUGCUCUACUAAGGGUAAAGACCUUGACGAUACUACCAUGUACAAAUAGUUAGUAGGUAGUUUAAUUUAUCUCACUUUGAUUAGAUCUAACAUAUCAUAUGCAGUUGGGAUCGAGAGUAGAUUCAUGCAAAAUCCAAAGAAACACACUUGGAAGCUAUGCGUUGAAUUUUGAGACAUAUUAAAGGGACCAUUCAUUAUGGUCUAUUGUACAAGAAAGGAGAAACUUGCAAAGUGACUUGAUAUUGUUAUGCAGACUAUGCGGGUGUUCAUGAUACAAGGAGGUCAACUGCAGGUUAUAUGUUCAACUUUGGAUUAAUCAAAAUUUUUUGGUGUAGUAAGGUGACAAUCGACAGUGUCAUUAUCCAAUACAAAAGCAAAGUAUAGAGCAGUAGCUUCAACAGCACAGGAAAGGACGUAGUUAGUGCAACUCAUGAAGGACUUACACCAACCAAUUGAUUACCCAGUUCAGUUAUACUACGACAACUAGUCAGCUAUUCGCAUGGCUGAAAAUCCAGCAUUUCAUGUGAGAACAAAGCAUGUUGAAGUUCAGUAUCAUUUUGUUCGAGAGAAGGUGUUGCAAGGAGAAAUUGACUUGAAGUAUGUCAACAUAGAUGAACAAGUUGCUGAUAUAUUCACAAAGAGUUUGAAUCCUUCCAAGUUCAUGAAGUUUUGAGAGAUUCUUGAUAUGACUACGUGAAAAGUCAAUGCUGAGAGGUUGGGUUGAAAGUCAUCAUUGACUUUAAUGCUAAAUCCCACCAUUGAACCAUAUGCAUUUACCACAAGCAAAGUACAAUAGUGUAGUAGUUUUCUGACAUGGAAGAAUGGACAAUUGUAAAAGUCCAUUUUCACGGCGUGACUGUGAGAAUCUAUUGCUGCUAUAUCACGCUCAAAUUGAGAAGCCGUUCUAGCCGUGAUCUUCAAUAGAUUUUUAGAGAGCUAUGCAUUAAUGAGAAGAGAAAAAUUGCAGCUACAUGUCAGGGUUUUACUAGUAUAAAUAGGGGUUCACUUUUCAGUUGAAUGCAUCAGAGCUCAAGAGAAAGAAAGGAAAAUAAACGAACACAGUUGUUAAAUGAGUGUUUGAGCAGAUUUCUCAAGAGUAAGGUUCUAAAAAAAUUAAAACAAAUAUUCCCAAUAAUAAGGCUCAAUUUAGUAGUGUCUAGUAUAAGUUUAUUUUAUGAGUGUUGUUAUUGUAUACAUUUUGAGUGUAAUAAAAUUUUUCAUUUGUCUCCUUUAUUAGUGGAUUUAAUCCAUUAAUUUGAUAUUGGAAUCCACCACAAUCCAACAUCGUACAAUGAAGCAAAAUAAUCCCCCAUAAAGCAAAUCCUGAGGUGUGGACAAAGACUGCCCAAGAUUGAGUUUUCAAGCUUUGAAAGCAAAAGAUCCCAGGAAUGGGUGAGGAAGGCUCAGAAAUACUUCCACAUUCAUCAGAUCCCAGAGAACCAGAAGGUCCCUAUCGCUGAAAUGUACUUGAAAAAGAGAGCGGAUACAUGGUUCCACGGAUUUCAAGCAGGGAGGGACGACCUUCCAUGGGGGAUGUUAGCCACUGAAAUUUGUAGAAGACUUGGAAAAAGAACCCCAGGAAUGUUGUGGAAGAAUUCAGUAAAAUCAAGCAAAGGGGAACUGUAGAAGAGUAUGUGGAAAAGUUCGAAUAGCUCAAAGCCCUGGUAAUGGCUUCUCUCCCUCACAUGUCUGAAUCAUAUUAUGUUGUUGUUUUCACUAGUGGAUUAAAAGCAGAAAUUAAGUCCAUGGUGAAGAUGCUAAAACCAAAUACCUUGAUCUCGGCCAUAGAAUUGCAACCCAACAAGAAAUCACUGUCACUGCCAUUAAUCGAUACUCCAAACCAAUGACCAAGCCAUCUUCCAAUACACUUCCUGCCCAGAAAAACACAACCCACUCAGCCUUAAACUCCAACAAAUUUAACUCGUUCCCUUCUUCUUCUAUUCCUUCAAAAACUCCAGAACUACCCAACCAACAAAUUUCGCCAAAGGACUUUCAAACUAAGAGGGAGCUUGGGUUGUGCUACAAAUGCAAUGAGAAAUAUACCCCGGGUUAUGUUUGCCAAUUUAGACAUAUUAAUUUCAUCUUAACUGAUGAAUCUUACUCCGAAGAGUACUUGAUACAAGUAGUAGAGAAGGAAGGUCUAGAUGACCAGGGUCAACUGUUAGAGAAUGAUGAACAAAUUGAAAUUUCCUUGAAUGCCUUGUCUGGUAAUGUGAGCUUUAAAACUAUUAGGAUUAAGGGCUUUAUUAAGAAUAGGGAAAUAUCUAUCCUCAUCGAUAGUGGUAGCACUCACAGCUUCAUUGAUAAAGGACUUGCAAAGCAAUUACAGUGCAAACUGAUGCCUACUAAACCCCUGGGAGUAACUAUGGCUGAUAGCACAAAGUUGUAUAGUAGGUUCAUUUGUAACCCUUUGAUCUGGAGAAUGGGUGUAUUGGAGUUCCAGCACCAGGUGAGGACAUUGAAGCUAGGGGGAGUGAUAUGGUGAUUGGAGUAGACUGGUUAAGGAAAUAUAGCCCAGUAGUUUUUGACUUCAACUCACUAUUCAUUCAGUUCAACAAGAAUGGUCAGACAGUAACGCUAAGUAGUGGUAGCUGUGAUGGGGAAGUGAGCUUGUUGAAGGUAGUAAGGCAAAACAGUGAUUCAGGAAGCACACUUAUGGGGUUUUGGGGUGUAUAUGUGCGACUUCAGAGAGCCAACCAGGGGAAGAGGAACCUGUCCUUAACGAAGUUGUGGAAUUGCUAGCUAAAUUUGAAGAUGUCGUUGCAGAACCUAAGGGUCUACCCACACCAAGGUCCCAUGACCAUCAGAUCAUUCUCAAAGAGGGCGCUCAACCCUUCAAGUUGAGACCAUAUAAGAUCCCUUACAUUCAGAAAGCAGAAGUUGAGAGACUAGUUAAGGAAAUGCUGGAAAAUGGGAUUAUCCAGGCUAGCAAUAGCCCAUUUGCUUCGGCCAUUUUGUUGGUCAAGAAAAAAGAUGAAAGCUAGAGAUUCUGUGUAGAUUAUAGGCACCUGAACGAGCUGACUAUCAAAGACAAAUAUCCUAUGCUUUUAAUUGACAAACUCAUAGAUGAAUUAUAUGGGGCAAAAUACUUCACCAAAAUUGAUUUGAGGGCUGGUUAUCAUGAGAUAAGGGUGAGAGGCAAGGAUAUUUUCAAGACAGCUUUCAGAACCCAUGAAGGCUUGUACAAAUUUAAAGUCAUGCCAUUUGGCCUGAAUAAUGCUCCAGUUACUUUCUAGAGCUUGAUGAAUGAGGUAUUUAAACAGGAAUUGAGGAAAUUUGUACUUGUGUUUUUUGACGAUAUUUUAGUCUACAGCAGAAGUUUAGAGGAACACAAGCAGCAUCUUGAAGAAGUUCUGGAGAGGUUAAGAGCUCAUCAGCUAUUUGCAAAAAGAAGUAAGUGUUCAUUUGCACAGCCAAAAUUAGAAUACCUUGGCCACAUUAUUAGCUCGGAGGGGGCAGCUGCGGACAACAAUAAAAUCAAGUGCAUGACUAAUUGGCCAAAACCCACAUCGGUAAAACAGAUGAGAGGAUUUUUGGGGUUGACAGGGUACUACAGGAAGUUUGUCAGGGUUUAUGUAGCCAUCGCUAAGCCUCUGACUGAUAUGCUCAAGAAAGAUCGUUUCAUAUGGACUACGGCAUCAGAGGAAGCUUUUGAACUACUCAAACUAGCUAUGAGUUCAACUCCUAUGCUAGCACUUCCAAAUUUCACCAAGCCAUUUGUGGUGAAAACGGAUGCUUGUUAUGGGGGUAUUGGGGCAGUUCUAAUGCAGGGAAGAAGACCAUUGGCUUAUCUGAGCAAAGCUCUAGGACCAAGGCACCUAGGGAUGUCCAUAUAUGAGAAUAAAUUACUAGCUAUGGUAACUGCUAUUAACAAAUGGAGGCAUUAUUUAGAGGGCCAUCACUUUGUCCUAAAAACUGAUCACCAGAGUUUGAAGUUCUUACUGGAGCAACGGAUCACUACUCCCUUGCAUCAAAAAUGGCUGACUAAAUUGCUUGGGUUGAGUUACGAGAUACAGUUUAAGAAGGGAGCUGAGAAUGUAGUGGUUGACGCAUUGUCUAGGAGAGGGGUGGAUCAAACGGAAUGUGCAGCAUUAUCCACCGUGACACCAGUUUGGUUGCAAGAAGUUAUUGAUAGCUACAGCGAGAAUGCAGAUGUACAAACUAAAAUUCAAAGCUUAUUGUUGGCACCUGCUGAGAACUCUGAGUAUAGCUACCAAAAUGGUAUAUUGAAGUAUAAGGGGAAAAUCUAUAUUGGAGGACGAGGAGACAUAAAAAGGAAGGUAAUCCAGGCAAUCCAUGCUUCUUACACAGGAGGGCAUUCUGGAAUACAAACCUACUACCUAAGAGCUAAACAGUUCUUCUACUGGCCACACAUGCUGGAGGAUAUCAGAAAAAUGGUGCAAGAGUGUGAUGUCUGUAGCAGAUGCAAGCACGAAAAUGUCGCUUGUCUUGGGCUGUUGCAACCCCUCCCAGUUCCUCAGUACUCUUGGAGCCAUGUUACCAUGGAUUUCAUAGAGGGGCUUCCAAAAUCUGAAGGAAAAAAUGUGAUCAUGGUUGUAGUUGACCGGUUGACCAAGUAUAGCUAUUUCCAAAGUCUAUCCCACCCAAUUAGUGCUGUUGGUGUGGCCAAACUCUUCCUUCAUGAUGUCUGUAAGCUGCAUGGAAUUCCUCAAAGUAUAGUGUCUGAUAGAGAUAAAGCGUUUACAAGUCAAUUUUGGCAGGAACUUUUUCGGUUCUUGGGGUCUAAACUACAUUUCAGUUCUGCGUAUCACCCUCAAAGUGAUGGACAGAGCGAGAGAGUGAAUCAGUGUGUGGAAAUGUAUUUGAGGUGCAUGGCUCAUUAGAAACCCAAGUCCUGGCACCAGUAGUUGGCUUUUGCAGAAUGGUGGUAUAACACUUCAUACCACUUCUCCAUUAAGAUGACCCCUUUUGAAGCUCUUUACGGGUUCAAGGCCCCACAGGUGACCAUUGGACCAUAUCUUCAAACCAACGUAGCAGCCUUAGAAUACUAUGUACAGAACAGGCAAGGCAUGGAGAGAUUGCUUAAGGAUAAUCUAGAGCAAGUUCAAGCGAUAAUGAAGCAGUAUGUAGACAACAAGAUAUCAGAAAGGACAUUUGCUGUAGGAGACUGGAUAUUCUUAAAGUUACAGCCUUACAGACAAAUCUCUAUGGCUCUUAGAAAGAACAUGAAACUUGCUGCGAAAUACUACGGACCAUAUCAGGUGAUUGAAAGGAUUGGAGCUGUCGCUUAUAAGUUGAAAUUGCCAGAAGACUCGAAAAUUCAUCCUGUUUGCCAUGUGUCACUGUUAAAGAAGAAGGUAGGAGAAGAAGUGGUUCCUAGUACAGCAUUACCAUAUUCGGAUGAAGAAUGGCAGUUGAAGGUCCAACCAAUGGCAGUCUUAGACAGGCGAAUGGUCAAGAGGAAGAAUAGUACGGCAGUGCAAUGGUUGGUCCAAUGGUUCAAUUCUUCUCCAUCUAAUGCUACCUGGGAAGAUGCUGAAUUCAUAUGCGCUGCAUUUCCAGACUUUGAACCUUGAGGACAAGGUUGCAGUUAAGGGCGGGAAGAUGUCACAGGACAAGCUGGAGUAAGGUGUAGCAGUCACGGUGUCGUUCUAUUCAUUUAACAUAAUUAGUUGUAAACUGUGUCGUUUUACUUAUUUAGCAGAAUUAGUGGUACGGUGUCGUUUUACAUAAUUGUCGCGUAGCAAGGUUGCUAGAAAGAAAUCUUCAGGAGUUGGUCCAUGCAGCAUUCGGUUAUGUGCAACAUGCAUGCAUUGCCAUGGUUGUCAAAAUCGCGAUCCGGUUCGUAGGAUCGUAGGAUCGUACGAUCUAGAUAAUCAAAAUCGAUCCGGAUCGCAUUCAGAAUCGCAAAUUGCAUUAAUCAAUCAUAAAAUCGAGUAGGAUCGGUAGGAUCGUAUAGAAUCAUACGAUCCUACGAUCCUACAGCGAUCCUACAAAAUUUUGCUAAUAUGUGAAAUACGAGACUCCAUUUUGCAAGUAAAUGAAAACAUUUGGGGUAGGCUUGUAAUUUAUCAAAGAAUUGCAGCCUUUAAUUGCAAUGUUUUAACAAUUUUUGCUCAAAAAGUCAAAAAAAGCACCGAUGUAUGUUACCUGAAGUCUGAUGAUGUGCAAACAAUUAAAAAGUGAGAACUCUCCAUGUUGCAACCGAUGUUGUUAAUCUCUGAAGUUAUUAGUAAAAUGGUCAUUAAUUCAAAAUUCAGAUAUAGGCCCAGAAUCUUGUGACUUUCUUGUUACACCCUCCAAUGGUUUUGUUAUACCAGAUGCAACAAAACAAGUGAACAAACAAGAACAGUAGAACAGUUUUAGGGGAAAUCAGAUUUCUAUUAGGGUUUGGAACGAAUGUGUAUAUAUAAGGUGUAUAUAUAUACAACCAAACAACUAAACGGACCGGACCCAAAAAUAGGUCCAGAACCAAAACCCAAAAUAAAACAGACACGGUAACUUAUAUAUACCGUAAGCUUUGGGGGCGUUGCCCCCGAACCCCCACCAGGGGCAACGCUGCCUCCCGGGCCCCCCAGCCAAGGCGUUACCCCAAACAGCUCAGCGAAACGCAACAUAGUCGAGUCGCCAUGGAUCGAAGACCUGAUUCAAGGCAUCCCAACAGGUUUGUCUCCAACUGAGGUGCACUGAUUGAGAGUUCAGAUUUAUUGGGACUGUCCUAGACAGCUAUUUUAAUUCCCCCCUCCAAGUCUACAAUUAGGCUAUGUAUGCAUCAGGUGACUGACAUACACUCUCUCAAUAAGCACAAAACGCCCCUGGCUAGAUCAAUUUGAUGUGGUUUAUGUCUUGAUCGACUGAAUGUGGUUCAAUUGUGCAUCCACUCUUUAGCAUGAGGUCCCUUACAGUAAGAUUCUAUGGGCUGUACAACCCUAUCAAUCUGGUUGUGCAGUGAGAAAUUUAUUGUUUCUGAAAAAGUAUCUUUUGGCAAUGGAGAUGUCAUUGCUUAGAUGGCAGCCAUGUGUUUAGAUUUCAUCAUUGGAGGUUGAUAAUUAUUUUAUAUUUGAAAUUAUGAUUGCGUAAACUAUAAAGCAUUUGGUUUUAAGAUUUGAAAUCAUGAUAGAUAACAGGUUUAUGUUCUCUUCUUUAUUACUUGUCAGAUUGUUAGUAAAAAAUGUUAUAUAUUUAUGAGUAAUUUAUUUAUUUGAUAUCUUUUAGAAGGUACAAAAUGGUAUAUCAAUUUCAAAUUCAUUAAUUUAGUAAAUUUAGGAACUUUUGGUGGAAUCUUACGAUCUUACGAUCCGAUUCUAUGAAACUAAAAUCGAUCCUACGUAAGAUCCCGAUUUUACAAAUCUUGUGCAUUGUAUGCAACUUUCAGGCACUAGUAUUAAGUAGUGGAUUCUGCACCGAGAAAAAGCAGACUUUUGAUUGAUUUGUAACAGAUUUCUUGAGUGAAAGAAAUAGUUCCUUCCUCUGUGAAUUCAUCUACCAUCUUUUCAUUUCUUCCUCCCCACCUUGAUUCACGUCUUCAUUUCUGUCCCCUCAAGCUGAACCCCGAUACUUCUGCCAAGAAGCCAUUGGGAACAGCUUGAGUUGGUGACAUAAAGUCAACAUGGAUGCCUGAAAGAUCCUGCACCCUGAGAAGUUUGAAGUUCUCAAACGGGCAAGAAUGCAAAAGGGCUGAUGAUACUACGAGCGGAGACGUGGGCCAAAAGGCUUUGAUGCUUUGAAGCACUCCCAAUAAGAAUAGAUGCAAAGAUGGUAUGGCUCAUACAAUGUCUGGGCAUGACCAGACGAAUCCUUGGAAUCAAGACAUGUAUGCUGCUGCAAGAAGCACUCUUCUUUGGCUUUUGCCAGCACAAAAUCAUGUAGUAGAUCAUGAACACGGCUUGCUUUCCUCCAUUGAAGGAUCCUUUUUGGAAUCUAUUACAAGGCUUUUGGCAAUUAGAUCAUUGAAGUAAUUUCGAGCUAUAUCCUCUGAACUUCCUUCAUCAUUUUUUUGCAGUUGAAGAAAUCCUUCUGCAAUCCAUAACAGGAUCAAAUUAUUUGUUGGCACUUUUCUGUUCUCAAGGAAUGCCCCAAAAUAGAAAAAGCACGGUUUCAGAUGGUCUGGUAACUGGUUGUAACUAAGUUCCAGUAUGUGCAUACACCGUCUGUCUUGAUGUUCAAGAAGGUGUGCAUUUAAACUAUUAGCAAUUUGUCCCCAAAGUGUUGUGUUUCUUGCCAUCAUAGCUGUCAGAUCCACAGCAGGAGUCAGACCUUUGCAUUCUGCUGCAAUUUUCUGUCCAACUUUAAGAAGUUCUUGAGGGCAUCUUUCUUUUCCAAAUAGCUUGACUUGCAACAAUUCCUAGGUCCUAGAUUCUGAUAUUGGAUUAAAAGGGCAAGUCAUGCUCAUGCAUCCAGUUUCCAAAGCAAUAUGUUGAAAUCUGCUUGUGAACAUAAUUCUACUACCUCUCUCAUCAUCUGGGAAAGAGGCUUUUAUAUCAUUCCAUGGUUUAAUAUCCCACAAAUCAUCCAAGAAGAUGAAAUACUUCUUGCCCUUGAGACUUUGAUACAACUUUGGAGCUAAAUCUUCAACCUCCAUUUUCCAUACUUGGUCAGUUUCCCCACAAACUAGCUAUAAAAUUUCAAGCAACAGUCUUCUCUUUUCAUAUGCAUGACUGACGUGACCCCUUGCAUGAGCAUGAAAGCAUAAGGGAACCAAAGGAUUUUCAUAUAUUGGCCUAGUGUUGUUUUACCAAUGCCAGGCAUUCCCAUAAUCGAGAGUAUGCACAACCCUGCGAAAUCAUUAGUGAGUUGGUCCGCGAUCUUUUUCACUUAUAUCAACAAAAAACUACACAUGACCAAUGGGCUUCUAUGUUUCAUUUCCAGCUUCAUGGUUGGGACCUCGCAAUCCAACAAAAUUUUCUGAACUAGCCAGAGAAGAAAAACCACCAAGGUUCAUUGGAAAUUUGAGGACUUGAAUGUUGGUAGUCCUUUUGAUUUUAAUAGCAUUCACCUCUCUACUGACAAUCUUAAUCUGUUGCAGGACAUCAAACAGACCCAUUUUCCAUUCCCAAAGAUGACCACUUCUGGCAAUAAAUGAAUCAAUGACAAAUUCAGUCUGGUAUACAAUGUCUUUGAAACGUAUCCAAGGGUCUCUCUGCUCCUCCUGUUCUCAGAAAAGUUCCCCAAUUUCAAAAAAAAUUUCUCUGAGAGAUAAUAUACUUCCAAGAACCAUCUCCAUUUGAUACUGCAGCUGAAGAAUUGAAUCAGCAUUUGAACAUAACAGCUCUUGCAGAUUCUUGAUCACAAAAUCCAUGAAGCCUAGUUCGUUAGUUUUGGAGAAAUUGGACCUCAGUGAUUUUGGAAUUAUAUUAAUAUAGAUGUAUCUCGAUUUUAUCUUGAUCAAUUGCGUCAUGAACUGAUUAUGGUUUCAGUCUGAUUCUAUAUUUAAUUUAGAAAGUCAAAUGAAUCAAUCAAAUCCUAUCAAGAGCUGGUCUUUGAACUGGUUUUUUCAUUAAAUAUUUUUUAUUUAUGAAUUUUGUCCAAGUAAUUAAAUAUUAAAAUAAUAAAAAAUUUUCAAUAUCAUUAAACUGGAAUUGAAUUGAUCAAAUUGGUUAAACCAUGAAUCAGAAGCUUAUUUAAUUCAUUUAUUAGUCCGGAUUUCAAAACAUUGCCAUACACCGGUCCAAAAUGGACUAGUUCUAGUAUGCCACAAUUUGGGAGGCCCAAUAUCUCCUUUUGGCAAUGAAUACAGCAAAAAAAUGUAUAUAUUAAUAUAAUAGAUGUGUAUAGAAUAUCAACAAGUUUAGAUACUAAAAACAAUAACGUAUCGAAACACAACUUUUACUGUGGAUAUUAAUAACUAUCCAUAUUUGUUGUUUUAAUUUUCAUGAUGUGUAUUUGUUAUAAGUUGUAUGGUGUAUUCCCAAGAGUCCAAACUAGAUGGAUAGGGCCUCUACAAUGGCAACAUCAAUUGCAAGGUGCAACUAGUGAUAGGUUUGAUCUAGAAUUAAAUGGACGGAAUUGAUAGGAACAUCAAUUGGAAGAUGCAAUUAAUAGUAAGUUUGAUCUAAAAAUUAAAUGGACGGGAUUGGACUUGAGACAAACUUUUACAAUGUCUAGAAUAUAUAGUGCCUCGAAUCCUUGGGAUAGUAGAGAUGUAGUAUCGGAUUCUUUGCACUUGGUAGAGCAAAUGCAAAAGUGCAGUUGAUGGGGUUAAUUUAUACUUUUUUUGGUCUCUUGUUUAUAAAAUGAUGCAAAAUAGUCCACCACAUAUUACAAAUGAAUAAAUUUUGUCUAACAACUUAUUUCUAUCCAAAAUUCUAGUAAAAAAAUUGCACGUCCAAGUCAAGUGCUCAUAUUUUCAAGUGGCAAAUAAUAGGAAAAUUAAUAUUUUCCUAAAAAAAAAACCUCUUGCCAUCCAUUCCCUCUUCUCCUAGAAGUGGUGGUUGAAGGUUGUUUUCAAGAGAAUGCUAUUUUUGUUCAUAUUUUGCCUCUCGAAAUUUGAGUAUGUGAUUUGGAUGUACAUUUUCAAGUCAAAAAUUUGAUCUAAAAUACGUUGCCAGACCAAAUUAGUUUUUUUUUUAGAUGUGAAGGAUUGUUUCGUUCUAUUUAUCACUCCUAUUCAAGCUUCCUCCUGGACUUCCAUUUAAACUUCCGCCAGAAUUUUCCCCCAGAUUCACUCCAGACCCUUGUGACUGAGAGCCUUGACCGUUCCCAGACCUCUGAGAGUUUCCCAAGGGUUGUUUUUCCUUGGCGAAAUUCUUAAAAUCCUGUGACAUUUGAGCCAUCAUGCUCAUCAGACUGUCAUACUUAGCAUGCAGAUCCCCUACUGACCCUCCAAAGUUCUUAACCACUACUCCCAAAUCUGUGACUUCUCUAUCCAAUCUCUUGACAUUCUCUUCUGAAAUUUUACUUCUAGUUUCCGCCAUUGCCACAAGAUCGACUUGCUCUGAUGCCAAUUGUCACCAACCCAAGCUAUUCCCAGUGGCUUCUUGGCAGAAAUAUCGGGGUUCAGCUUGAGGGGACAGAAAUGAAGACGUGAAUCAAGGUGGAGAGGAAGAAAUGAAAAGAUGGUAGAUGAAUUCGCAGAGGAAGGAACUAUUCCUUUCACUCAAGAAAUCUGUUACAAAUCAAUCAAAAGUCUGUUUUUUCUCGGUGCAGAGUCCACUACUUAAUACUAAUGCCUGAAGGUUGCAUGCAAUGCCUGCAUGUUGCACAUAACCGAAUGCUGCAUGAACCAACUCCUGAAAAUUCCUUUCUAACAACCUUGCUACGUGACAAUUAUGAAAACGACACGGUACCACUAAUUCUUCUAAAUAAGUAAAACGACACAGUUUACAACUAAUUAUGUUAAAUGAAUAGAACGACACCGUGACUGCUACACGCUACUCCAGCUUGUCCUGUGACACUUUACUUAUUGCAUAUCCUAGUUGGUUCUUUUAAGAUUCUUAUCCAUUCGCACUUCCUCAACAAGUAUGCCAAGGGAAAUAAGCAACCUGCAGAAGCUGGAAACUCUUCUAGUGAGAGCAUAUAAUAGAAUGCAAUUGCUUGACACUAUUUGGAACUUGUUGAGAUUGAGGCAUCUCAAAAUAGAUGGGUCUUGCACUUUGCCAUUGUAUAAUCAAGAAUUCAUGGAGUAAUUCUUCAGAAUUCAGAUUUAAUUGCUUACAGACUCUUUCAAUGCCAUGUUUAUUCUUCGAUAAAGCUAUUGAGAAGACAAUGAGAUUCUUACCCAACCUUCAAAAGCUGAGUAGCAGAUUUCUGGAUUCACGAGAUCAUACUUCCAAUUGCAAUCGUUUUCCGAUUUUGGACUUCCUCACUCGACUUGAGUCACUCAAAGUGCUCUACUGUGGCCAAUUACUUCAUUAUCAUUGUGAAUUCUACUUUCCACAAACUGUCAACUGUUAAGAAGUUGAAGCUCGCAAAUUUUCCUUUACCAUGGAGUACAAUUUCAACCAUUGGGAAAUUGCCUAAUCUUGAGGUUCUCAUAUUAUCAGCUGUUUCCUUUCUGGGGAAAAGAUAGGACAUGAAAGAAGAAGAGUUUCUUAACUCAAAGUCUUGAAGCUAAAGACUUUGGACAUUGCACAUUGGAAUGCCUCAGACUCGGAGGAUCACCUCCCUUGUCUUGAGAUACUCAAAUUGUGAAUGCCUUCUUGCUUAGGGGAUAUACCCACACUGCAGAGGAUUGAGUUGCACAAUUGCACUCCUUCUUCUUGCACUUCAGCCCAGACAGUCAAAGAAAAACAGGAGGAAAUCGGAAAUGAUCAGAGUGUCAUCAUCAAUUGAUAAUCCAGGACAUCAUCGUGUACAUCGGUGUAUGUGGGUGUAAACAUUGCAGAAAAUAUCUCCUGUUUCUCUUAAUGAGUUCUUCCUGCAAGAGAGUGUUCUGUUUCAUUCUUUUAAUCCACUUUCUUCUUCACUUUAUAAGCAUGAUCCAUUCAAUUAUACUUCAUAACAUUUUGAUCAUUGCCAUCGGGAGCUAAAAUGGAAAAGACCGGUUUGUAUUACCAUUCAACCAUUCGAAAAAAAAAUGAGACGAACACUUGGAGCUUAGCAGUUACAUGAAUCUGGAUGAUCAGUUGUGUAUCCUUUAAUUGGCUGAUUUCACUUUGUUUCCAAUUAAAGCAUUUCAUUUAAAUUCCUAACUCUGCAAUUGAGAUGUGCAAAUUUUGAAAUUAGACAACUCUUAAGUUGGCAAAUGGAUGGCCAUCAAAAUGACUGAACUGGUUAUCUUUUGGGAAACUCUAAAUUCUCUAAUCAACUGCUGGACACCACUAAUGAGUCCACUUUACUUGGUGGUGUUAGGGCAUCAAGUUCAUUAAGAUACACCCUUUCCGCUUUUUAAAUCUCAUCCUUCUUCCAUUAAAAGAUUUUUUUUUUGAAGCUCAUUAAGAUAUAGCAUUCCUCCUAAAUUGAAACAUUGAAGUAUUGAACAUUUUCUUAUUUCCCCACCUAUUAUGCUUCCCGGUUUUGCAUCAGAGUUAAGAGGGGCAAAAAUGCAAGAACAAUGGAUUGAAUUUAAAUCGCAAGAGAUUGAGACUCGAGAGUAUGAGUUGUUACACCAUAAUCCAAGUUUAGUAGGAUUUACAUCUCAAAAUGAAUCCUGAGGUUAGUAAGAUUUUCUCCAGAUAUUGUACUAUAGGUUUAAUUUUUUAUUAAGUUUACUUUUCGACUUGUUUAAUAACUGAGUUUAAGUUGGAAAAGGAUGCUUAUGCACAAUAGUCCCUUAUCUUCUUUAAAAAUAAUGGGAGCUCUUUCCAAAUAUUGAAAAAGAAAUGUAUUGGUAUUUUCAUAAUCAACUUCAAGGAUGAGGAACCAACCAUUGGUGUCGGCCUAAUAGGUAGGGGAAGGCUUUUAGAGUUCUCCUCGCUGUCAGAUUCAAGGUUCGAACAUGUGUCAAUUGGAGAUAGGAAGGAUGUGAGGAGGAAUAGAAGAGUUAAAAAAAAAAAAGGAAAAAAAACUUCAAGGAUAACAUGUGAUUUUGGUGAUUGUGGCAACAAACAAAACCCUCAUUACCCUUUACUUUUUUGUCAAUUUUCAAAUUUGAAAACUUGACUCUAAUUUUAUGUCAAUAAUCACUAAUCGUUAUUGGAUUUUUUUUUUUUGGGUAUAGUGAAACUUUAUUCCAUGAUAAAUAAAGGCAUUACAUCAGCUUCUGAGUUGAGUAGCUAUAUUAUGUGUUAACAAACUGCCUCUCUAUAUACUUUUGGCCUUUUAUUUUUUGUUCAUUUUUUGCAAAUACAUGUGGCUUAUUAUGGAAAGUACUUUGGGCAUCAACAAAAACUAAGGCCAACUCUAUUAAUACUUUAGUCUAGCUAAGACUGGUGGUACUAUUGGUACCAAAAUAUCUAUAAUUAUGUAUUUGUAUUCAAACUACCUUAAUUUUCUCUUUUAUGACAUUUGAGUUGAAUUUUCAAUUUUUUGGAUAAUAUUUUGUCAUUUUUGUAUCAUUUUAUCAUUUUUUUGUUUUAGUUUUGGUAAGUUUUUUUGGUUUAUUGUUAAUGUUGACUUGUAAAUGAUCCAUAGUGCUAUUUCAGUUAUGAGACUAUCUUUUAAUAUGAGUAUUAAAUUCUUAAUUCACCAUUACUCAAAAGGAUGUUUCAUUUUUUAUUGAUUUUCAUUAAAAUAUAGUAAAAUGUAUCUAAUUAUUGGAGAGCAGGGUAGUUUUGGUAUCAAAACAAUUAAGACCAAAUUUUGCUUACACGCCUAACUAACUAAAACUCAAGGCACUUUUAUAUGGUAGAGUAAAGAUAGAUAGAUAUAAAUAGAUAUAGAUAGAUGUACUACAGAUUCCUUUGUUAACUUCUACUUCGUCCUUUCAAAUCACUUAUUUUAAGUCGAAAAAAGAUGAUUACACACAAUAGCUCAUUGGUUCUUUCAAAAAUAAUUGUAGCUUUUCUCCAAAUAUUUGAAAAUAAAUUUUAUUAGAUUUUCAUAAUUUAUUGUUGAAAUUAAUUGAGAAAUUCCAAGCAUUACAAGGGAGAGCCAAAAAGGAGAGGGCUCGAGAGUCGAUCCGAGAAUCUCACGAUCACUUGAUUAAUCUAUGUAUAAACUAAGUUAAGUCUUGGAGACCUUUCAUGAUUUGUUGGCCUAUGGGAGAAAAACAAAAGGUUGAAGCAAUAGAGAAUAGGCCCUAACGUGAUGGACAUUACAAUCUUAUAAACUUUCUGAGACUUAAAAUAAACCCUCUAAUUUUGGAUUUGCGCCCACAAACUAAAGCCAGAUUACCCUUUAAUUUUCAACCAAUCUUUAAAUUCAUGAAUUUUAGAUUUUAAUUUUGGUUAUUUUCAGUCUCAUUACCCCUUGAUGAUUCAUGUUAUAGAAUACAUGUAGUGGACUUGUUGCUGCACUGGAUAUUCUUUCGUAUUUUAAAGUUAAACAAAUACUUCAAUAAAAGCAAUUACAUUAUUGUCUUUCUGACUUGAGUAAUAGCUAAAUUAUGUGAUAAGAAACAGUCCAUCUAUCCACUUUAGGCCUUUUUUUUAAAAAAAAUAAAAUAAAAUAAAGAAAAGAAAGAUGAAUGAUGAAAUUCAUGACAUUUCUUCUUUGUGAACUAUUACCAUUAACUGAUGGUUUAAAAUUAAAAAUAAAAAAUGAAAAAAAAAUGAAAUGAAUGGUGCAAUCUUGACAUUUCUUCUUUGUGAACCAGAACACCAAAUAACUAAUGGUUGAGGCCCUCGAUGAUAGCAUCUUGAUCUUGAUCAUGUGACUCAAUCUGCAAAAGUUUCAUAAGGGUCAACCUAAAGUAACUACUAUCUACAUUGGAAAUGCUCAUUUACAGAUGUUAGCACUCGAGAUAUUGAACAGUUUAUUAUUCUACAAUGGUACAUUCUGGCAAUCAUAUAUUAUUCCAUAGGAAACAGAGUAUUAGAAGGAACCAAUGGGACGUGGGUGUCCAGUCUCUGCAUCCAAGUAGCAAAGGAUAAAGUGUAGUUCCAUGAUCAAAAUCAAACCCCUAGGAUGAAGCACUCUUGACUCGGAGAAUCUGCACAUUCUGAGAAGAGAGUAAGAAGUAAGACUCUUCAUGCACAUUCAAAAGUUCACUAAAAGGAACAAUCCAGACCAAAUAUAUCUCCAUUUCAACCACCGCUCUCUCUCACUUAAAAAACACCUCUUCAUCCUCCAAAUCAUCAAGCACUAGUUUCAUCCCAAGAACCAAGAUCAUUCGCUAAACAUGUAACCAUAAUCACUAAACAUACUGAAAGGAACAAAGAUCAUUCAAGCUGUUUUCUGGCUUGCAAAGUCACUGCAAAGUAAUUACUACCAAGGCUUCCUUAUCUUUCAAACUGUAUGAAAACAAAACGACUAGCAUGUUAAAACAUAUAUAAUAUACCUAUGCAAUCAAACUAUUAGCCAUUAGCCAAAGCUUCCAAAUUCCAACAUUAUUUUGUUUACUACAACAUGUGAAACAGUAUAUGAUUUUUCACCUUUUAGUGCACAAUAGCCAACUGCCUUCUGUUACUACCACACGAGAAGUUCUGAAGCAGCAAUCUUGGUCCCGAAAAGACAGGCCCGAUAAUCUGCCUCUCAAAUUUGCCAAGGAUGUGCAUUACAAAAAUGCUGAUGAUUUAAACCUAUUACAGGCCUAUAUCUUUAAAAGAUGCUAAACUAAACUAGACAUAAACGAACACAACAGACAAGUACACAGACCGAUGUUGAGGGCCAUUAAGAGUUCUGCAAUCAAUUUUGCC
rnacentral:lncRNA from 1 species